GGUCACAGAAUGCAAAAAUCUUGGACAUUUAGUCCAUCACAUGCGAGUCACGUGAUCCCUCAAGUUGUCUUUGAAACUGUUAUCAAGGAGCGUAGGAAGGUGUGGUGUGAACUGCAUAGUAGGUGGUCCACAUAUAAAGUAUGGAGCUUCGUACUUAACUUGGUACUAAAAUAAUAAAACACAAUCUUGAUAUGUUUAAUACAUCAGAUAUGCAUGUUCAUAAAAUAAAGGGUACUUUAGUAAUAGUUUAAUAUUAUAUGUAUAUUUUUUCUUUCAAAUUUUGUACUUAUAUAUUUGGGCAAAAGUUGGGAGUCCUUGGAUCAUUAAUUAGGAAAACAUGCGAUGUCUGACGUAAAAAUAUGAAACACAAUCACAGCCAUAACAUUCGUAAAGAUGUGGCACGCAUGGCCCUUAAUUUUCUCAAUUACUUCCUCCUUUUAAAGUUGCCUAAACUAAUUUUCUGUUUAGUCAAUUUAAAAAAAAAAAAAAGACUAUUUUUUCUUUUUUAGCAGCCUCUUUGAACAUUUUGAUAUAUUUGAUAUAUAUUUAAUUUAAAAUCACAAUAUUCAAAAGUUUCUUUAUUUUUUAAAUUCUAUGUCAAUUAAUUUGAAACGGAGGGAGUUUAUGAUAUAUCAUCUUUGAUUAGUACUUCUCUCUCCCCAUUCUUGGCGGGGCAAAUUUUAAACAUUGGCUUGCUUUGACUGUAAUUAACACCAAAUGUGGAUCACUGCAUAAACGUCACGAUUUUAUUAAUUUCCCAGUACAACAGAUCUCACUCAAUUACUGCCAUGACAUCCGUGAAUCAAAGUCAAUUUAACUUUUUGGGUAAAUCUAAAGUCAUUAUUUAUCUUCCUUGGUAGUUGGAUAUAUAUGUUUGUUGACUGUUGAAUAAGUCAGUUACAAUAGGAGAUCAAUAUCUCAAUGUAUAGUACUCUCACAUUAGAAUGGAUGGGAAAUUAAAGUUAGUUGUCAAAUAAGAGAGAGUUGAAGUUGAAGAUCAAUUUAACUGUUGAGUGUUGAUGCUCCUUUGAUUUAAGAUAUUAGGUAAAAUUAAAGUCAUUAUUUAUCUUUAUUGGUAGUUAAAUGUGUUGACAGUUGACUAGGUUAGUUACAACAGGAGAUCAAUGUCUUAAUGUACGUAACAACAUAUGUACUGUUAACGGUUGAACUAGAAAAGGACUUCUAGUGUGAAGCUUGCUUUAAAGUUUAAACCAAUAUCUUAUAUCAAAAUGGAUUGGAAAUUAGUGGCCAUAGAAGGGUGGGUUUACGAAUUUAAUAGUUGAUGCAUCUUUUACUUUAAAGCCCUAGGGGACAAAUCGAGUGAUCUUAAAUGUUAGGGUAACAUCAAAUAAUACAUUGACAGUUAGAUCGACCUUAUUUAUAUUUAAUUCGAACUAUAUAUAGAAUUGAUAAUAUGAAGUUUUUUAGUAAUAUAUAAUAUACUUAUACUAAAUUCGCUUUCUCAUUAUAGCUACAAAAGAUGAGUAAUGAUUAAAUAAAAUGAUAGUAUAUAGCUUGUGAGCUAAAAUCCUAGAUCUUUAUUAUUAAUGUGAAGUUUAAUAGAUGAGUUUGGUGAAAGAGUGGAGAUGUGUGGAAAUGAUCACAUGAUAUUGUACAUGGAGACAUGCACAAGAAGGCCCACCUUGUUAGUACAAUAACAAACACAUUUCUUUAAGCCCACUUGAGAUCAAACCCCAGCUUGGAAACAAACAAACACAAAUUUUUAAGCUUAGUUAUGGCCUCCACCCCCUCGCCCCUCUCCCCCCCAACCCCUCAAAUACUAAGAGGUUAAGAGGUUUAGUAGUUGAUUAAAGUUAUGUCAUAAUUCUAUAUAUUGUAUAAUACAAGGGAUUAGUUAUUUAUGUAGUACUUAUUCCACCUUUUAUCUUGCAUAAAAUAAUACAUAGAAUGUCCUAAUAAUUUAUAUAUAUACUGGUUUUGCGAGUUUCUAAAUUCCAAAUCAAACACUAUAUUAUAUUAAUACAUUUAUAGCUUACCUCCUAAUUAGCUAACAAAAUAUAUAUGGUAUUAUUAUUUGUACAGAAUUUAAUUUUAGCAUAACUCACCUCCAAAUCAGCUACCAUACCAAACGAGCAUAACUAGUAUAGAACUUGGAGUUGUAGUAGUAGAAGUAAGUGUGAGUUACCAUUACCACUUAAGAAAAAGUUUUUACUGAAAAAGGAGGUGUGUUUCUUGAAUGCAAUUGUCCAACAUCACUUUCUAUGUUUUCUCUCUCUUUCCUUGUGGUCCUUUAAAGCUAGUUCGUUAUCUCUUCUCUUCUUACUCUCUCCUUUUCUCUAACUAGUAACUACCACACCACAACUUCUUCUUCCUCUCCUUAUUCCCAACUUCCACAACAAAAACAAUAGGAAGAAAACUCUUCUUUCUUUUACAUCUAUAAGCUUUCCAUUCUAGCAAAACAGAUAAAAAGGAGACGAAUAUCCAAACCUAAAUUUGUGAGAGAAAAGAGAGACAUAUUUUUAUUUUUUUGAAUUUAAGGAUGUCAAGCAGAAGGUCGAGGCAGUCAUCAACAGGGUCUUCGAGGAUUUCAGAUGAUCAAAUUAUUGAACUCGUCUCAAAAUUGCAACAACUUCUUCCAGAGAUUCGCAAUCGUCGCUCUAGCAAGGUUUUUCAAUUAUACUUUUUCUUAUUAUGGUGCAUGUUAGUUUAUACUUAUACAUGCAGCUACAUUUGAAUCUUUAUUUUUGAAAUGCAUAAUUGCAGUACAUAGAAUUAAGUUGGAAUUCUUUGCAAGGAAACUAAAAAGAGAGAAUUAAUUGUCUAACAGUAUAACGAGGCAAGGUCACAUCAUGUGGAGCUCUACGCACCUCUUGUCUGUGUUACUCACAUUAAUGAUAGUAUUAUUCAUGAAGGAACAUAUUUCGCCUGUUAUAUUCAAGCAUUUAUUUUAUGUCUCUUUUUGCACUCUAAGGUCCAUUUCACAUAUAUCCUAAUUUGUCUUGCACAAAGUAGAUAUGUUAGCAAACACCUUUUUUAACAUAUUGUUAUAUUUUAAUGUCUUUUACCAAAUAACUUAUGAGCGAUUACUUACUUGUAGUUAUGAUUUAACUAGAAUCAACCAUGCAAAAUUACCUAAGGAAAAGGGAAAUAGAAAUGUCUCUCUUUCUCACACACUCUUCAUGUAUGUACUUCAUUUUCUUGGAAAAGAUAUAAGUUUGGCAUACAAAAGUAGAAUUUUAUGAUUUGAAUAAUGUUUUCUGACCAUGCCUAGGACCAUGCUUUGGGUCCCAACUCCCAAAAAAUACAGAGCCAAAUUGUGAAUUUGUAGGUCAAUGACUCGAACAUAGUCAAAGAUUUGCAAUGCAUCAUUGCACAAAUUAAGGCACGUCUACUACUUGUCUACAUAAAUUAUCACGUAGCACAACAUGUUGACUCUAGAAUUUAGGAGUAAAAAGUGAUAGGAGUGCUUUAGUUUAGGAUCGGAGUUGAUUAAUUAAUUAAAAAAAGGACCGUCAAGUGCACGAAGAACAAUGCAUUAGCAAAGGUCUUGGGAAGGGCCACACUUUAACGGGUGUUAUAUAGACAGUCUACCCUAAUACGUACUAGCACUAGUCACAACUUCCGAACCAACUUUACCGUCGCUCCAAGCUCUCCUUCGAGUUGAUUUAAUAAAUUGUUCAAUAUUUGUGUUGUAUUCUCAUAUAUGUUUGGUUGGUCACACUAAUGCAGGCAUCGGCAUCAAAGGUACUUCAAGAAACUUGUAACUACAUAAGAAAUUUGAAUAGACAAGUGGAUGAUCUUAGUGAUCGACUUUCUCAGUUACUCUCCACUAUUGAUGCUGAUAGUCCAGAAGCUGCAAUCAUCCGUAGUUUAUUAAUGUAGUAACUAUAUAAUUAAUGAUGUUUUUUUUAUUUUCCAUUUCUAAAUAUUGGAGUUAUAUUUAUAUACUACCAAGUUCUUGUUUUUUCUUUUUUGUUGCUCUAGUAGACUCAGGUGGUCACUAGCUAGGCCAAUCAUGAGUUAGAAUUUAAUUAGAAUUCAACUGUUAGUAGUGCUGGUUGAGCCAAUGUGAUCCCCUAGCUACGUACGGUCACACGCUUGUAAUUAUAUUUCCCUUAGUUAUAUAAUUAAUUAAUAAGAUAUGAACUUUUGUGCUUUAAAACCCCUUUUCUUUUAGUAGUUAUAUAUUGCAUUUAAUUGAUCCACAUUGAAGCAAGAAACUAAUAACAUGCAUGUGAACUCGAGAUUAAACAAAUCGAUUUAAAAGGAAGAAAAUGUUGCUUAAGGAUCAGAUAGGACUACUUAUUAUGUCGAUAAAUUUCUUAUUGGAGAAGGCAAACUACGAACUACGAACAAUAACAAUAACAAUAUAUUAGUGUAAUCUCACAAAAAAUUGAAUUACUAAAAAGAGAAAUGAAAAUUAGCAAAGAAAAAGACAAAAAAGGAUUAAGUCCGUGGUGAGUAGAGUAAGUUGAGGGUCAAUGUUGGUCUGAAAGUUAUCAAUCACCUGAAGUACCGCUCCAAUGCCAAACAAAAAAAUGGAAAUCAACGCUCCAAAUUCUGUCAUAUUAUAAAGAAUAUAAUUCAAUAAUGAAAAGAAUCAACGAAAAAUGAAUAAAUUUCUAUCAGGUGCCCAUUACCUUUGGCAAUGAAUAGGAAAAUAUGUUUGAUUAAUUCGUAAGUCCUCUGUGGAUCAGUACGAAUUUAAGAAAGAAAGAAAACUUUCGAAGUCUUUAAGUAAAUCAUAACAAUUGUAUGAACAUAAGAUUUUUGAACAACCAAUACAGAAUCUUUAGGUCAUGAAUGGAUCAGCCCAAGAUCAUUAUUUAAACCUUUUUGAAACCUUUACACAACAUGAGUUGACAAAUGCUCUUAACACCUUCAUGCGUGUCUUUUUUCUUUAGAAGACUGAAAAGUGGACUUAAUGAAGAGAGAGAUCAGGUUCAAAAUUUGUGGACACACUAGGCUCGCUCAACAGGCUGUGGAAUGGGCAUGAAGCAAAAUUUGUGCAUAUAUGGCUCGAUAGAUCGAAUUGAAAAGAAGUCGUCUAGAGCAGCUCCAUGGACUGAAUUGAGAAAUUAAAUGAACAGAAGAAGAUUGGACAAAUGGGCUUAGUGUGGUUUUGACUCUCAUAUCAAGUUGAAGUUUUAAAUGCAAAAACUAAAGCCAAGAAUGACAAAAGUGUGUUUGAAUUGCAAAGGUCUGAACGUGUACAAGUACGAAACUUGAGAAAAAGUAUAAAGCUAAGUGUUUACAGCUACGGGUGUUCAUGGCUCAGUUUGGGUCGGUUAUUGGUCAAAAUCAUAACCAAACUAACUUAGUCGGUUUUUAAAUUUCUAAAACCAAACCAAACCAAACAAAAAAAUAACCAUUGGUUUGAUUCUUAUCGGUUUGAUUCGGUUUUUUCGAUUUAUUACUUUAGCUAAUGACAAAAGUUGAAGAUUUAAAAAAAAAAAAAAUUCAAUCUAACAUAUGAGAUAUCAACCGAGUGUUGUAUCUCAACCUUGAAACUAAAAUGUCAACUGAGUGUUAUACUUCAGCAAAGCCAUGAACAACACCAUAUGAACGCUUCUAAAAAAAAUAUUUAAAAACUAUAUUUAACAGAAUGAUAUGAUAAACCCAGCAAAAGAUGAACACAUAAACUUCUUGCUCGACAAGGUUCAAAAAGAAAGUUAAAAUUAGUGAUUGUCGAUAGUCUAAUGAAUCUUAGCUGUAAAUUUCAAUAUAUAACAAGUAUUAUUUUUAAAAUUAGUAUCAUUUGUCAUUUAAAGUGCAAAUUUCAUUUAGAAUCCCAUAAGGUACUGUCAACUGGAUGAAAACAUAUGACAGAAUGUAUUACGACUAAAGUUAAAUCAUGAUUAAAAUAUAAAAUGUAACAUAUAUAUAUAUAUAUCGGUUCGGUUUGGUUAUUUUGUCGGUUAUUUUAGAGUAAAAUCAAACCAAACCAAAUUAGUAUCGAUUUUUAAAAAUUCAAAACCAAACCAAACCUAACCAAAUAUCAAAUUUUUUAAUCGGUUUGAUUUUUAACGGAACCGUGAACCACCCUAAUUACAGCAUGUCUCUAUAAAUUAUGUUUAUAGUAGUAAUUCUUGUAACAUUUGUGGUUCAUUCACGUGAGAAGUUCAAAUUAAAUUACUGUAUUUAAAAGGAAUCAUUCUUUCCAAAAUAAACUUUUAAAAAAAGAAAAAUCUAACAUUGGGAGUAAGACUUUUUAAAUUGUGGUCUUGAGCAUGUUAUCAUAGUUGUGUGGCUACAAAAGUUUUUCACCAAGGAUAAAACUGAAAGGUAACAUUAUAUUAAUUAUUUUCAAGUUCAAAAAAGUAUUUGUAUUUUUUUAUUUUUUUUUGUAAGUGACUAAAGAAGUAAAUAGAAGGGAGAAUUGAUUUUUUAGGUUUGAUACAUUUUUUAAAUUUUCAUCUUCCCUUUUACCAGAGAUCUUCAUUUUUACAUAAAAGAUUUGAAAAGAUUAUUUUGUUCUAUUGAUUUUACAGUGGUCAAGAGAUCUGUGUGAUGGAUUUUGACAGCGAUGAUAUUUACAUGGUGGCGAACGACUAAUUAGAGGAGGCGAAAAUGGAAUACUAGGUUGCAAAAGUUAAGCCCUUUGGCUUUCCCAAAUAAUAUUGGUUCAUUAGCGUUUAAAGGUAAUUUCGAGCCAAAACUAUAGCGACGUCGAUGUAGAUAGUCUCCAAAAGUAACAACAUUUGGCAUAGGUUAGUAGAUAGGUGUUGAAUUAUAAGGAUGUCAUGAGAUCACAUCAAUAUAAACAGUUAUGUAGAUGAGUAUGAUUGAAAUUGAAUUAAUAAGAUUGUCAAUAAUAAAUGGAGAAAGAUGUGAGAUAUGUAGCAAUAAUAAUGUAAUCCAUAUUGAAUCGACAAAUUUGCAGUUUGCGCCCUCAACGAGAAGAGAAAAAGACAUUUGCUCUGUGUUUCAGCAGGGUGUCUCUAUAUAUGUGUUUUUGUGUCUUAAUCAAAUAAAUAAAAAGAAUAAAUAUAAAAACAUACAUACAAUAUAUUAUAAUUAUAUCUAUACCUAUAUAAUGCAUGGAUUCUGAUAACGAUGAGCCCAGCCAUAUUUAUCAUUGACGACGACUCUGAUAUUCCUGUUACAGUUGCAAUAUCUAAUAUGGGUACCACAGCAAAUCAAGAUACCUUUUUCUCAUGAUUUUAUUUUCAUAAUUACUAACUAUUUGAAAAGGAAUUUCUGGUGAAACAUCAAUACAUGUCAAUUCAACCACAAAUAUUUUUUCUUCCCAAUAAUUGUAUUCCAUGGUUUGAUUGGUCUCUACUAUUUAGGAAUUUAUUCUAUUGGAUCAUCUUACUUAAAAAGGCAUUAAACACUAAAUGCGUUCUAAUCUUCUUUUGGAACAACUGCUGGUCUAAUUACAACUCGGUAAUCACAUAUAUACGAGCAGGGCGAAGCUAGAGUGUCAGUUGCGUGUUCGACCAAACGCAAUAGCUUCAGUUCAAAUUCAUUAUGUAUUUGUGCUAAAAAUCGAUUGAAUUUGUACAAAUUACUAAAAUAGAAUCCAGCAGCUUAAAAGAAAUUAGAUUUCAGAAUCCAUAAUUUUUAAUUUCUGACUCCGCCUCUACAAUAAUACGAGCCUAUGGAGUUGGGUAGUUGCUAAGUUCAUUUCAAAACGUCUCAAUCCAUCUUAUAAUUAUCUUUGUUUUUUUUUUCAUUCUACUAGACGUUAACUGAUUUAUUUGCAUUUUUUAAACGUAUUAUCUGAUGUACAAGGAUGUUUGAAAUUUUGAUCAAGGGAUCCAACAGAAUCUUGAAAUUUCCCAAAAUUAAUCCCAAAUUGCAAUCAGAGCCUGUAUAAUGGGCCCAAGGUGGUGUCGUUUUCGGCUGCUAAUCCUCUUAAGACGAAGCCCGCUAUUAAUAUUUGGGCCUUAUUCUACUUUGUAUAAAGCCCAAUAAGUAAAUCAAUCAUGAAGGGCUCCCAGACAUAAAAGCCCAAAAACGAAUGGUUUCAGCCCAAGUCCUAACAUGCCCAAUUUUUUGCUGGGCGGGACCACCAGCAUAUUUGAGGUGCCCCUAAUGGCAUCAGAAUUCUGAAGAUAUUUGAAAGUGAUCUAAGAACUGAUGAUGUGCUUUGCAUGGCAAUUGGCGCGCGCGCACAUAUAUAUAUAUAUAUAUAUAGAUGGAAUAAUACAAAUGAACUAAUACGAAAAGAGACGUAGCUUUGCUUAUAACACAUUGACAUACUCCAUCUAUUGUCAAAAUAAGAAUGGUGAACUAAGUUUGGAGUACAAGAGUAAAUAUACUCAAGAUCGAUGCAUAUACCUAUAUGCAUUUGAAAAAUAUCGUUUCAGUUCAUUCUAUUUCAUAUGUUCUAAGAUGUGAUAUGACUUUAAAAGAUGAAUCAGAUAGGAACAGUUUCAAUAACCAACUCUAUUCUUGACCUUAAUUUCAUUUUUGAUUUAUUUCAUGCAUUCGAUGCACAAAACAAUUGCGAACACAUUGCAUAACAAUGUUGAAUCGAAAGAGAAAUUUCAAAGAAUAGCACAUAUAUUUAUUUCAUCAAUAACCGAAUCGAAUGUGGUGUAUCACAAGUAAUUUGUCUUUUCUAUGAAUUCCUGCAAAAUGAAUAUAAUUGCACACAACUGCUUUAAAUGUUUAUGGAUGUGCAAGCAUCAAAGGCUAAAAAGGUUGUGAGUAAGUUCUCUACAAAUAGGUGUGAUAAGGUUGCAACUGUCGUGGUGGUAUUAAAAUCCUCAAUUAAACGACCCUUAUGACUUGGAGAUAGUCUAGAGCACAGUGUCUGUCAUAGUAUUAGCCUAUGCAUGUAUUUCUUGGAUUUAGGUAUUUGUUAUCAUCUGUUGCUUACGUUGUUUAGGUGAUCGCACCUUAUUGUUUAUAUUACGGUUCCUUGCAUAUAUCGCCCCACAUUGCUCUCCUAUUAGUUGUCGUAUUUUUCGUCACUGCCGUUUUUCUCUCCAUUAAUAGUUUGAGUUCGUUUCAGUUGACCGAGGAUCUUUUAGAAAUAACCUCUCUAUCUUCAAGAGGUAGUGGUAAAAUUUGUGUACACUCUAUGCUUUUCGGACCCCACUUUGUGGAAAUACACAGGUCACGGUGUAUGUUCUCGUAUAUAUUUGUCCCUAACUUUCCUAUAGUCUACCUUGUGGUACUACUAAUAUUUAUGUUCAGCUUUUCCAAUCAUCAAACUGCUGAUAUAUUUGGCCAUCAACAAAGUGAAUCCUAAAUUUUCUGCAAAAAUUGUGGGAAAUGAGAACUAGUUUAGAAUCUCCAACCUUUGCUUUUUGUAAUUCUAGUUUUGGAGUUGAUGGAACUAACUAAACCAACAAACAAAAAAGUAAGUAAAAUAAAAUAUUUACUCGAUAUGUGCAAUUCGGUCUACUAUACCAAGAUUGCUUUUAAGUGACCAACAACGUGGUGCAGCGGAUGGGGCUGCUCCAUCCUUAAUCAGAGGUUCGACCCUGGGCAUGGAGAAAACUCUGUUGGGAGCGUUUUCUCCCGAAUGGGGUUCUACGCGGCGCAAAUUCGGAUUAAUCGGACUCCAACGUAGGUACGGAACACCGGAUAAGAAACCAAAAAAAAAUAUUGCUUUUAAGUGACGUGAUGAUGUAAAACAAAUUACUCCAUUAGUUACACAAGUUAAAUUCUUUUUAUCCAAUACUCAAUUGAUGCUUUUCUAAAAGGCCAAAAGGUUCCACGAACACCAUAAAAAUGGUGAUGCGAAAUCAUUAUGUUUGGACUAUAAUGCCCCUUCCUUUAUGCUUUAACCAAAAAAAAAAAAUUCAAUUAUUCUUUUCCCUUUUUGCCAUUAGAGAGAGUCCUCAAAUUAGACAAAAUCAGUUUCAUUUAUAAAUGAAGGAUGAAAGUCAUAAUCAUUCCCACUCAACCAACCAUGUUAAAAUACGUUCACAGUGAAUGAGUCAUUGGUCUAAAAGCUUUGUGGUGCACACAACCAUUUUUAAAUUAGACGACGAAUUCCUAUAAAUAAAAAAAAACUCCUAUAUAUUUUAAUAUUGUCACUUUGGAUACAUUCUUAAUAUAAUUAUUAAUUGUUGCGCCUCAUAUUGUUGAAAAUUAAACACAAGAAAAGGAGCCCGUGUUAGAUAAUAUAGUAUGAGGCAGUUGCCGUCACGGAGAAUGAUUAAAUUGAACUACUUUCGACUUUUGGCACAUCAAAAUGAAAUGAACAUAUAAUAAUAAACCAAAGUUGUCAACAACCCAGAUUUGAUGCUUUCCAAUCUGUUCUUUCUUCUUUCUUCUUUUUUUGUUUAUAAUUUAUUUUUGUAUUCGGAGUGGAGACCUAUGAUUCUGUCUGUCUACAUCCUUGCUUGCUGCAUAACAAUUUUUUUUUUUUUCUUUUUUUAAUCAAAGGGCAAGCCUUGUGAUAGGGAAAGGGGAAAGAACUAGUGUGAAGAAGCACAGAGGACCUUUCCUAAUAAAGUUUGAUGGGUUUAUGUACUUUAUAAGAUCUAAGUUAUAUACCGAUUGAUAGUUUGAAAUAUUUUUACACUCGUGCGAUGAUUAAACUUGUGAUAUCGAGCUACUGUAUUUUUUAUCAUAUAAUUAACUAUUGUAUGUUAUAUAAAUUAACCAUCUUUUGUCAACAGAGUUUGUACUUCUUUGUAUGUUAUCUUAGAUCGAAUUAAUUUUACUUUUCUACUUCCUCAAUGAGUAAAGCACAAAUCAAAUUUCAAUACUACUUUAAGCUGCGUAAUGUGUCAUAGCCUCUUUUAUAAGAUUUAGUCAUUCUUGCUUGCAAGAUUAUACAAAAGAUCAAGUUGUACCGACGAGGGUUGUGGUAGAGUGACAAAUAUUCUUUCAAUCUUUAACCAGAGGUUUCAAGUUUGAAUUCUUUUGGUAUAGAGUAGUCUUUAUUAGUUAGCGCUUUAGGGACUUCUCGACACGAAUCGAGAUUUAGUCGGACGUCAAUGCAAACAUUAGAUGAGGUAAAAAAAAAAGAUCAAGUUAUCUAUGCGAUCAGAAUCCACUCUUCAAAGUCCUUGAAAGAUGCCAUUAGUGGCAGGGCCAUGAACUCAAACAUGAUCAAUUGAACACGCUUUGCUACAAAUAUUUAGUAUACAUUAGUUAGGUAUGCAAACUUAUAUUGAAUAUAUACUUUAAGCAAUAUUUAUGAAUUUUCCAUUCGGUGCAAUGACGAUAAAAGUAACCAAAACAAGUAGCCAUCUAUGUGGACACUAGACAUGAUUUAAAAAUGGCAGGAGCACUAUUAUGACCACAAAUAUUUGGCAGCAGAAGUAUGACCACAAAAUAUUUUCCCCUUGUUUAGAACGCGGUGGGGGGGAUCAAACACUAAAAACAUAUACUCUACUACUUAAUUUUUCAAAAAUUGCCGUUAUUGAAUUAAUACAAACCAAACCAACUCAAAGCAUUUAAAUUUCGCUGGCCGACGGAUGCAUAUUUAAACCAGUGUGUGCAGUUGCACCAGUUCCUUUCAAUUCGUUUUCUAUAUAUAAAGUUUACUUUUUAAAAUAAAGAGUGUAUUAUUAAUUGGUAAGUAUUAACUAGAACACAUUAUUAUAAAUAAAUAGUGACUGUAAUGAUAUUUUAACUAUACACUAAUUUAAAUUUUAAAUUUCAAAUUUGUAUAUCGUCAGCUAGAUAAGAAAUGCAGAAGCUAAGCAAACACUAAAUCACCAUUCCUAACCCGAAACCCAAAGUAUUUAGUGCAAUAUGUGGUAUGACCUACAUACAUUAUGUUGGACUUUAUAAUAGGAAAAAUUCAAAAUUGUACUUAUAGGCUCUUGUUUUACCUGGAAAAUGUAUUACAGAAGACUAUUACACCACAACUCCAGAGCUUGGAACAGGUUUAUAAGUUUGGUUAUGACUAUAUAGUAAAAUCAAUCAAAACUCCUCACUGUACAACAAACAUCAUCCAAAAAGAAAAAAUUAAUCCAAACAAAACUAGGUAUAAAAGAAAAAAAAAAGACCAAGAAAAUUUUGUGAUCAACCUUAAUCACAACAAAUUGGACAUCGAAUAAGCCCGUUUUCAUUACAAUCUGGACAUCGUUGGAACCCAUAUUCAUCGUCUUCAAUUUCUUCUUGUUCUUCUUCAUAAUCUGCUUCAUAAUAAAUUUUACAGCUCCCUGAACAUGUCUCACAUGGUACGAAUCUAAUAUCUCCACAGGCCUCACAAUUACAACUUCCAAGUACAACACCAUCCUCCACUUUCUCACAGUUUUCGACAAACUUCUCGAGCUUUCCAUCCUCGUUCAUUCGUCGUAUUUCAUCAGCUCCACCAAUGUAUUUUUUGCCUAAAAAUAUCCUAGGCAAUCCCCCUCCACUAUAUUCAUUUCCCAGUAAUUCUUUCAGCUCCUCUUUGAACCCCGAAUGCAUCGAUACAUCUCUUUCAUCGAUCUUAACACCUAAGCCCUUUAGAAUCACUCGAACAUGACAACAAUCCUCGUAGGUUUUCCUCACACCUCUUAAACUAGUGAAAUAAACAACAAUCUUAUCUUUACUGACCUUGUAUUCUGUGACUUUCUUCGCAUCCGUUAUCUCCAAUGUGUCUUCGUUAUCAGCAGCCGGCUGAUGGCUUUCGUCAGUUAACGGUUUAAGGUGAAAUGGAUUUUCCGGUGGGAGAUCUUCUAAUGCUUUUCUGAAUGUGGAAAUCACUUCAGGAUCAAACUCGGACACGAUAGAUGUGUCGUUUGAACUUGAGUUUGUUUCAUCUUCAGCUACUUCCUCCCACAAUGGCUUCGGGGAACCUUCGAUAUCAUCUUUAACUCUUGGCGUAGGCAGAUCAUAUUGCGAAGAAUCUGGAUUUGGAGAUACAUGGAAUGAAAAGCUACGAACAUGAUGAACUGGUUUAAGGGGACUACAAUCUUCAAGACCUUCCAUUAAUUCCCAAGUAUUGAUAGUUUCUGGCUCACCAGGUGGAGUUCUAAUGGGAGUUUUCGGGACAACUUUGGGGAUUUUCUCGUUGAUCAUUUCUGACCAUGUUUUUGCUUCAAUCAAUCCCAUAGCAAACUCUUCUUUACAACUCCUCACUUCAUCGAAAUCAACGUGCUCAAACGAAGAUGAUCCAUCGUCUUUGAUAGAUUGACUAUGGUUGAGUGGAUCAAGCUUUAAAGAUCCUAAAGUGGAAGAAGUGAGAGCCACCAUAUGGUAGCUAACAUCGUCUUGCAUUGAGUAGCUCCGGCGCACCGGUGAACAGGGUGCCCUGCAUUUGUGGCACACCUUUGGCUUUGAAGUUGCACAACCCAUUACUGUAGAAAUUAAAUUUGAAGAAUAAAAAGUACACUUCUCUUUAUCUUCCCUUUAUCUCCAAAGAGGUUGGUUAAACAAUUCAAUCAAAUGGUACUUUUUUUUUUUUUUUUUUUGGGGGUUCUUAGAUAAUUAAGGUGGGUGGUAUAAUUGGGUAUAGAUUCCAAGAUUAAGCAACCUAAUCGAGGAAUUAAAAAUGGAUAGAUAACAAAUAGCACUGAAAUUAAAAAAUUAAUACUAGAAGAGAAUUACUGGAAUCGAUAAGGGGGAGAAAGAGAGAGAAAGUGGAACCUUCUGUUCUCUGAAAAACAGGGGACGCUAUUUGCCAUCAAUGGAAAGCCACACAAUUCAAAUCUUUUGAUUUGUUUUUCUACGGUAAAAAUAGAAGUUGGAGUAAUAAAACCAUAAUUGAGUUGACGACAAAAAAAAAAAAGAAAAAAAAUCAAUGGCUUAAGCAAAAUCUUAACUUAGAUCCUCCGUCAAUAAAGCAAAAAUCUCGCAUUGAUAAGAGGAUGAAUAAGAUGAGAAAAACAACCAAACCAAAUAGUGGAUGCCAAAAACUAAAAGAAUGGGAAAAAGAAGACGAAAAGGCAAAGUCAAAAGAAGAGGGCGGAGAGUAGAAGGACCCUUUCAGCAGUUACCUAUCACAUUUCUUUCUCAUUUCCCCACUAACCCCAAAUUCUCUAUUUAUCACUUUGAAAGAUUAACGUCGCUAUCGAAAAAGCCAGCAAAGCAGAAAGAAUGGACAAAAACAAAAAACGACCUCGUCAGUGGGUAGACGAAUAGAUGAAUAGUAGUUGUAGAAACAAUAUGGUGCCUUUCUGUUUUGUAAAAGAGAAACGGCUUGCGUAUAACAAGGCUGUGUGAUUCUUGGUGGAAUUAGAAAAUGGCUGCCAUACACUUGAUAGAUAACUGAAAAUGUAAGGACUGAAUAACAUUUGAAUUUUGAAGAGAGAUUAUAUAACGUAAAAAAUUGCGCACAUUAGUCUUUUUUAUAUUAACCUACUACUAAUAAAUAAAUUUUACUUUUAUAUACACUUCUGUCAAUUACCCUAUGUAUAAAUUUUUUUUGCUCAUUUAUUACUUUUCCAUAUAUAAAUCACUUAUAACCCCGUAUAUAUGACGACAAGUAUUUAUACUGGCUCGGUCGGAGCUAGAAAUUUUAAUCUAAUGGAGUAAUAGUUCCGGAAUAAAUUAUGAGAUUAUUUUAUCUCAUAUUUGAUUGAUCGGAUAAGUUAGUCAAGCGAUCACUUAUGUCACCAUUAGUGCCACUAAUUCGAAAUAAUUAAUCCCAGAAUUAAUUAUUCCGGGAUAACUUGUUCACAACCAAACGAUCCCUAUGUUUUAUACUCUUUCCGUCUCAUUUUAGAUGGUCAUCUUUCUAAAAAUAUUGUUUUCAAUUUAGUUGUUACAGUGAUGAAAUUAAGAGAAUUUUAAUAUGUUCUUUCAAUAAUACUUUUAUCAUAAAAUGACUAACCAAGUUGUAUAUAUUCAAAUUUAUAUUUUCAAAGUAUAAUUAAUAAGAUUAAUUUGAUAAAAUAGACCCUAAUAAAUAUUUUUCUUAAUGAAUAUCAAAUCUAUAGGGAUCAACUAAUACGAAAUAAGGAAAUAUCUAUAUAGAUAUUAAAUAAUAUUUUUAUCAUAAAUAUAAUGGUUGAAUUAAAUUAGUGAGUCCACUCCUGGCUUGGGGCCAUCUUAUUUCUAGUCUUUCAAUAGCGUGUUGGCUUUGAACAAAAAUCUCAACACAAAAUAGCUUUUUAAAUUUUAUUUCCUGGAAAAAGGUUUAUUGCUCUCCAAAUGUAACUUGUAUUAUUAAUUUAUAUGAAUUAUCGGUGUAAUCUUUUCUCAUAUCUAUAAUCUAUAUUUAUAUCUAUAAUCUAUAUCUAUAAUCUAUAAUAUAUUAGAAAAGUGAUUUGAAUUUUUUAUCCUUCAUUAAAACACUGUUCUUUAGGCAAAACUGUCUUUUCACUAUUUUUUUAAUUUAAUUUUUAAUUAUUUUUAUUAUAUUAACUAGACUCCUAAAAUAUAUGGGACUCCUAAACUAUAUGGAAAGAAAAUUAAUUAAUAUUUUUCUUUGAUGAAUUAAAAAAAUACUCCUAAAAUAGAAUUUUAUUAAUGAAAUACUUCUAUAAAUAUUGAGAUGUACGUUAAACUGUUUAUGGUAAAAUCUUUAAAAGAAAUUAAAUUAACGUGGAAAAGAAAAUAAAAACAUUUAAGAAUUAAAAUUUUAUAUUUUUUAAGAAAAGUACGUAUGGUAACAAAAAAUCCCUACCACUUUUUAAGGUUAGAAUUUUAGGAUUUUUGUGUGUAAAAUUUAAGUUUAAUUGUAUUAUUUUGAUAUCUAUUUUAUCGUAUUAUUUUGUUGUAGUUUACAGGUGUUACAUAAAUGUUGGUCGGCUUUGAAUAAUUUUUAUAUGUAAAGGUUAGGUUUAAUUGUGUUAUUUUAAAAUCUUUGCUUUGAAUUUUAUUUUUUUUGUGCAAAGGUUAGGUUUAGUCGUAUUAUUUUGAUAUCUCUAUUAUCGUAUUAUUUUAUUAGAGUUUAAAGGUAUUAAAUGACUGUUGGACGACCUUGAGAAAUUUUUUGUGUAAAGGUUAGAUUUAAUUGUAUUGUUUUAUUGUCUCUAUCAUCGUAAUAUUUUGUUGCAGUUUACAAGUGGUAGAUUUUUUUUAUAAAGGUUAGGUUUAAUUAAUUAAAUUGUUCAGCUUUACUAUUCAUGUUGAAUUUAAUUAUUGUAUUCGUCUUUAUAAUUUAAACACAUCCUAUUUAGUUUGAUGUUUGAACUCAUUAAAGUAAGAUACACGCGCGAGGCACGUACAACUAAACUAGUAUAUACAAAACUCAGAGAGAACCUUUAGAUGAAUAUAAAUAUAAAUAGUAGUGGACCCGUUCUAGAACCUUUAGAUGAAUAAGAAAAAGUUUUUUUUAAUCUCUCUUCCGUCUCUUUUCUCUCUUUUUAUCUCAAAUAAUUAGGGUUUGUUUCCUUCAUUAUCAGUUCAAAUCUGUGUCAAUCUUCAGGUUAACAAACUUAAAUGGGAAUGGAUGGAUACAAUCUAACCACUAUUUCACAGAAAAAAAAAAAAUUAAAACUGUACGAAUAUAUCAGAGAAUAUAUCCAACAAGACCGCUAUUCAUAUUACAAAAUUUAGACAUUAUAGGUAAUCAAUAAUCAACUAGUGACAUGGUAUAGACAGCACACAACUUUGUUUUACUUGGAUUAUGAUUAGGUGGAGCAAUGCUAAGUAAAUCAUUAUAAUGUAGCGUAGCCGUUUCAUUGACAAUCUUCAACAGCACAUCUUUAAAAUAGGUUUAAGCAAAGUAGCUAUCAAAUGAUAUAUACACUUAUUUUAUGCUACGAUCAACAAAAUAUGCAAGUUGUUUAGUGUUAUACUAUAUGAUAUCGUGGCGAGGGAGUAAUCAUGUUUUCAUAAAUUGAGAUGAAAAGAAUAAUGAUUUUUCAAUAGUAUACUUCCAAGUAUUCUUUGGUCCAUUAUGAAAUACUCCUAUCUAAUCCAAGAAGGUCGGUUUUCCAUUUACUAACCUACUUGUUUAAUUUUAAGCACUAGUAACUAAUUAAUGGUGUGCUAUAACUCUCUACUAUUGUCCAUUUAUCCCUAAAUUUUUAGAAUGACUUUCUAAGAUUAUAUGUAAAGGUCACUAGAGAAGUGUCCAGGCAAAGGAAUCAAUGGUACUGAUUUGCCCAAAUGAAACAAAAAAAAUAUCUUAUGUAGGGAGCCAGGGCCACCCCUGUGAUUUUCAAAAGAAAAUCUUCACAUAAUUCAAUCCUAUUUUUAGUCGUACUAUUAUAUUUUUCGUUUUGUAAAAUGUUUCCCCCAUUUAAUCAUUUCAGAUUUGAAAUUGAAGUAUAAUUGUUAUGUUUACCUUUUUGCUAAGUAGACUCAUUUAUGUCUACUUGACAUAGUAAGAUCAUUGGAGUAAACCUCGUAGAUGAAAUCAAGAUCUACAUGUAUUUUGUACGAAGGAAAAAAGAAUUUCUACAUUAAAUCUUUUUAAAAUUUGAUUCUUGUAUCGGGAACAUGAAUAUGGUUUCAAGUUUCAUUUCAAAUAGUAUGACAAAAUCAUAUUAUAAGUAGUAAAAAUAUUUGGAAUCUUCAAUAAGUUAGUACAAGACGCAUGGUGCAGGAGGCUAGAACUAGAAAUUAGAUGAGAGGCUGUGCAUUCUCCCUUAUGGUAAAUUCCUGAUUCACCUAUGACCAUAAUGCUAAUUAAAGGCAGACCAGCUUUUUGGCGGGCUUAGAAAAUAAGCAAGAAAAGCAGCAUUAUUUUUCUUUUUGAUUUUUUAUUCGGUGUCUGACACAUGUAUUGAAGUCCAAAUAAUCUGAAUUCGCAUAGGAUAGAGCCUCAUUCGAUAGGUAGCACUCGCUAUUAUAGAUUUUUCUAUACUCUGGGUCAAAUCCUUCGAUGAUGAUGCCCUAGUGGCUAUUUAACAGUGAAAAGAUAGAGGGACACAAUGGGCUCUUCAUUUACAAAUGUGGAGACAAGUCAUUCAUUUGAUAUUGAAGUGCCAUCAUUUACCAUCACAACUAACUACAUGCUCACAUCUUCACUCCUUCCAUAUCUUCUACGCCUUAUAAUUUAUACGCACCCUUUCUUGAUUGUCACAUUUUUAUUAUAAAAAAGUAUAUUUAUUUGUACCCUUUUUAUUUGUCUGUAUUUUCCACUUUUCUUAAAGAAACAAUUAUGUUACUAAAUUAUCCAAUUUAUUAUACUUUGUAAUUUGAAUUUAACUUAGAAAGUACAUCUAUAAUCUAUAUCUAUAUCUAUAUCUAUAAUCUAUAUCUAUAAUUUAUAAUCUAUAAUCUAUGAUCUAUAUCUAUAAUAUAUUAAAAGUGUGAAGGGCCUUAAAAAUAUUGUUUGAACUUUUUGCCCUUUAUUAAAAGUUUUUGCUCUAGACAAAAUCGUUUUUUCACCUUUUUUUUGUAAUAUUUAAGAGUUGAGAAAUAAUUAAAUAUAUUUAUGGUAAAACCUUUUCUUAUUAGAAGUCGUCAGAAUUAAUAAAACCUUUCCUUAUUAGUAGUCAUGAGACUUCAAUAAAUUGAAAAACAAUUAAAUAUGUUAAUGAUAAAACCUUUCCUUAUUAAAAGUCAUCAGAAUUAAUAAAAAAUUUCCUUAUUAAAAGUCAUCAGAAUUAAGGAAGAAGCGAUCAGAAUAAAACAAUAAUUUGAACUCAAUGUACUAAUCUAAUUUUCGUAUUUAGCACUAACGUCCAAUUAUUCUAUGUGGGAUAUAGGUUUUCAGAUUUUUUAAUUAAGGAAAGAAUUAUAUAAUGUAAAGUGUUAAUUGGUUUUAUAAUUCUAAAUAUUAAGAUUUUCUUAAUUAUAGAAAUAUUUUAAGUAUGACAAACUGAAGAUUUCUAUUUGAUGAUGAUAAAAUUAUUUGAGGUAGUGUUUUGUUUUCUCUAUUAACAUCGUCUUUUCACUAUUUUUUUAAUAUUUAAGAGUUGAGAAUUAAUUAAAUAUAUUUAUGGUAAAAUAUGUGCUUACGCUAAAAUAUAUAUUUACGUUUACAUUAAUAUAUUAAAGUGUGAAGAAUCUUUGGAAAAUAAUAUAAACUUUUAUACUUCAUUAAAAAUCUCCGCAAUAAAUAAAAUUAUUUAAUUUUAAAUAAUCAAACAUUACACGUGCGAGGCACAUGCGAUUAGACUAGUAAUUAAUAAAUAUCCAAUCUAUUAUACUUAGAAAUAAUUAUUUAAUUAUAAAGUACAAUUAAAGAAAAAAAGGUAAUUUUCUCUUGAUUUACUAACAUAAUUUAUAUAGUGUACAUUUCUCUUAAUCUAUUUUUUUACCUUCUUUGUGAUGAAUUUGAACCUCAGAAACUGUGAUGGACCAUUUAACAAUAAUGACGGACUACCUUCCCAUUCGUAUUAUUUUGUGCAAACAAACCAACUCAAAAAAUCUGUCCAUUACUUUCCUAUCCAAACGAAGUGACAAAAUACUUGUGCAUUUACCAUUCUAGCUUAGCUGCUACUAGGAAAAUAUCUUGUACCUUAUCCUUUCUUCUUGUGCUUUCGGAUAUCUGUAAAAUUAUUGAUCUAGUUAGGACACUUACAAUUCAAAUUAUUGAUCGUCCGGAUUUCUCACGUAAUGGAUGGGUGUCCUAAUUUCACAACCUAAUUAUGCAAGGACUUUUACUAACUCUAGCUGUUUUCUAGAAGAUUUAGAGUGUGUCUCCUGUUAGAGUCUCCACAUCGGUGGGUUAAAGGGUCCUUGCUCUCUUUAUAUGGUCUUGGGCAAUUCUCCCCUCAUGAGCUAGCUUUUGAGGUUGAGUAGGUCCAAGGUCCAUUUCUUUAUCACUUCCAACACCGAUAAUAAUGUUAAUAUAGUUAAUAUUAAGGCGCAUUGUUAAAUUAACUAAUGGAACGACUCAAUUAGGUAGCACCCCUUAUAGACGUAUUAGCCAUAACAAAUUUUUACUGAGUUUGGAGCCUAAAAGACAAUAUUCUUAAUCCAAAAUUUCGAUUAAGCAUAUUUCAAAUGUGACAAGACGGAUGAAGGCUCACACCUUAUCCUAGGUAAACGCUGCUAGCUAAUGGUAAAAUGCAUGAUAGGAAGAUUAUUUUACCUUACAAGAUAAUUAAAAGAGUCUCACGUCUUAUAAUUUGACUGAAAAGGGUUGUGGGGGUUGAAAAUUUAAUUGCCUGACCCACUAGGGGAGGAGGAAUAAUAAUUUUGAGGAGAUUGCACGGUAACACCAAGGUAUUAAGUGAGGAAUAAUCUAUUUCAAUUGCUAAUGUAGGACUUAAUAAGGUCGAAACAGAGCUCAUUUGAAAAUUUUCAAAUUUUGUAUGUCCUUUUAAAAUUUUGAAUCAGAGUCCGAACACCCCUUUAAAUACAAAAUAUGUCCAUUACGCUAAUUGACUUCAAAGAAACUUAAUCAACAUAUUCAUCGAGAUUAAUUGUUCAUUCUCCUUCAUUUUACAGCGAGGACAACGAACACGUGCGGUUGUGCUUCCUCCUCAAUCCUAAUCCUCACACUUUCACUACACAUGGAGGAUAUGGUCUCUUACCUUGUCUUUAUGGCACGUGUACUCUCUUUUAGGAUCCCAGUAAUAUCUAACCAUUUAUUACAAAUAGUAAAGUGGCCUGGACACUAAAUUCAUAUGGAAGUUUUUAUUUUUUUCUUUCUUCAUGAUUGCUAAUAAUCAUUUAAUAUCAUGACAUCCUGUAAAUGCAGAUGCCACUAGCGGCUUCAAUUUUUUCACCGCUACUGACAAGAAAGAUUGAAGGGGAAAAGGCUCUGCUCACAAAUCUUUUGGGCAGUUCUUCAUCAACUACUAUGUAGUACUACAACCUUUAAUAUAUGGGGUACAUACUAGCAGCUGCUACAUAUUUAUUUUCUUUCACAGAAUACGUUCACGCAUUUAAGACUAGUGAAAUUGAUUUAGCAAACUCACCUUUUCUCUAGCUACUUUCUUCUCCCCACGAAAGAUUUUUGGAUUCAUUCCCAAAAAACUAAAGUUGCAUUAUACACUCAUUUAAGAAUGUAUGUGUAUUUUAUUUUAUUUUUCCACAUAUUUAAGAAAAAAUAUAAUAAAUAUAAGAAAAAACUAAAGUUGCAUCUAAUUAAGGACAUAUUUAAUAUUAUUUUUUUUCAACUCUACUUCAAAUACUUCUUUCAAAUGUCAUCCAAUUUAUAUUCAAAUGCCUACUUAGUGCCGAACAAAAACGUCAUAUUUCAUCACUUGUAUACAAACACAACGACGCAUGCUAGGCUAGCUUAAAGUAGUAUUACUAGUGCACAAAAUACGUACCCAGCUGUUGAAAAAUUUCAGCAAAAUCAAUAACUAGUUAGCCACUACCCACUAGGCAAGGUAUUUCCCGUAGAGUAUAAUUGGGUGCGCAUUAAGAGAAAAGGCCUAAAAAGAAAUACAUAAAAUUCCCAUAUUUUAAGGGGAGAUAAAAAUUUAGGUGUUUUUUUACAAAAAUUAAUAAAUAAAUAAAUAAUAAUUAAGGUGCUUGACCAAAUAUUUGGUGGAGCCACAUGUAACUAAGGGGUGUCGACUAACAGUGGACGAGCCAGAAUUUUUACUGAGGGGUUUCAGAAGUAAAUAUACAGACUAAUCGAGGGGUUCAACAUCUACUAUAUAUACAUAAAAAUAUUUUUUAUCAUGUAAAAAUAGUAUAAUUUUUCAAUGAAAGGGGUUCGGACAAACCCCCUGAAUUCAAUGUGGCUCCACCACUGCUGACUGAUAUCCCUUCAUCACAAAAAUUAUACUAUGUAACUAGAUAGAAAUAUAUCUUUUACGUGUAUAUAUUACAUAUUGACAGUUCUUAGCUUUUUUUAUAAAUUUACUUCUUCUUUAUACUCUGCCACCUGAAUGAAUAUUUUGACUCCACUAAUAAUUACAAUCAUAUGGUUUAGUUAAGAAGGAGAGGUGUACAUUGACAAUUGUGCGUAGAUUAUGGAAAGAAUGUCGGGUCUUUUUUCUGUUUAAUGCUUUCUUCCUUAAACUUUACGUUCAUGAUCUCCACUAUGCCACUAACAAAUUCCCCUUUUAAAUUAUUAUUAUAUUUCUUUUAUGCUAUCUUUUUAUAAAAGCGAGAGGAAGAAUUGUAUAUAUGAUAUUAGGUUAUGAUUUUAAUUAAUAAUACCGGUUUAGGCUAAGGUUCUACUUUUUAUGACGGCUUGACCACCUCAUUUUCUGAAAUUUGAUGCCACCCUCGUAAAUACAAAUAUACCUACAUAUUUUACAUCCUUUUCAGUAAAAAUAAGUGGUUUUUAAUUAUUUAAAUUUGAUUCAAAAUGAGUGUUUUUCGAAAACUAAGAAUGCAUUAAUUUUUCCCCUCUAAAUUUAGGUUUGCCUAAUAACUGAUUUGAACAAGUUUAAAAGAUCUUUCUCUACUUGUUAAUUAAUGUGCAAAGAGAUAAAAGGGUACUGUAGUGAUCAAAUAAUUCUCUUGAAUAAAUAUAAUUAAGUCAUCUUAAAAUGAAUUUAUCAAAUCUUUAAAUGUCACAAUCACUAAUCUUUCGAUAAAAAGAAGAGCUAGAGGCACAUGAAAGAUGUAGAGAGAGGAAAGAGGAGAAGAAAGAAUGACGCGUAGAGAAUCAAUGAGGAAUUGAGUACAAUAUUUCUUGGGUUUAAAAGAUUAUAUAUUCAUGUAUUUAUUUUUAUCAAGCAUAAAAAUAUAUAAUCAAAUAGAUAACACAUUAGCAAUGAAAAAAAGAGUGUUACAGAUGUUAGUAUUCCAUUAAAUCACAAAAGGAGAUUUUCUUAUAUGAUGAAAUUGUAAUUGCUUAAAGAAGUUUAUGAGCCCGUUUGUAUAGGAUUUAAAAAAAUAGUUUUUUAGUUUAAGUGAUUAAAAGGUUAAAAUAAGUGUUUAUAAAUUAAGCAGAUAAGUGUAUGGAUAGAAGUGCUGAAACUGAAAAAAAAGUUGAUGUUUUUGAUAAACAAGUGAUGUUAAACAUUUUUUUGCUGUUAAAAUGACUUAAAUGUCCUUAAAGUUGUUAACACCAUAAAUAAAGUGAAUUAUUUAUAAUUUUUAAUUCUAAAAUAAUUUUUUGAAUAAACCUCCGAUGUAAUGAUGGAUUCGAUGAAAAUAAAGAAGAAAGAUGUAGAGGAAAUUGGAGGGAAGAGAUGAAGCCAAGUGGCAAAGAGAAAAAGAAAAAAAUAUAUAUUUAAGGGCUACAAGUUGAGGAUGUUGUUGGAAUUGGAGGAAAAUAUAAGGGAUAAAAAGUUAAAUGUAUUGGUCAAACCUAAAAAAGCAAAAAGUUGGGUACCGAGUUUCUCACUUUUUGAUUCUUUUAAUCAGUUUUUAGUUUUUUUUUAAGCACUUUUUAAUUUAACCAAACACCUUAAAAGCUAAAAUAGAGAUUAAAAGCUAGUUUGACCAGAUUUUAAUCUUAUUCAAACGAGCUCUAUAUAAAUAACUCAAAGUCUAAGCACCUAAGGAAUACGUAUUUAACGUGUCAAAUAAAACUAUAAAGAGAACGUUAGUUUUGCUUAUAUGGUUAGAUGUAAAGAAAUAUGUUACUAAAUAAAUAUUAUGAACGAAGUUUUUCCUAGGUUCUUCGCCCCCUAUAUUACAAUUUAGACUAUAGAGCAGAGUUCGCAAUUCAGAAAUAUGUCCAUUAUAUUAUAUAGUCUUUAGGAGGACCAAAACUAGAGAAUCCGUCAAGGCUCAAAAAGUCCAGGCCACAAACUGAUGAAUUCAUCCCCAUGUGAAAGUAAAACUAAUACUUCUGUUUUUAAGUUAGAUUUGGACCUUUGGGAAUCAUCAAGGCUUGAAUUUGAAUGGCCACUAUUCAUUCUUUUUUCUGCCAAUCCGAUUAUGACAUACUAUACUUGCAGAGGUGAAUCUAGAAUUUAAAAUUCGUAAGUUCUUUGAACAAAAAAAUAAAAUUAAAUAUAGUGAGUGAUGGGGCUAGAGAACCCAUGACCAAGAAGACAGCUUUAGCAAACUCCUUGUUUACCACUAGACCAAUAACACAUUUCAUUUAUGGGUUUCAGUUUAUAAUUCUUAUAUAUUUACUAAAUUUUUCAAUAUAAAUAUAAGAACCACAUGAAAGUUACUGAGUUUCCGGGAACCCCUACCGAAUACUCUAAAUCCACUAGGAUAGGAGUACAAUAUGGAAUGUCACUUAUAAAAACUUAUGUUUUUCAUAUUUUCACUAGAGAUAUUCCCAUUUUUAAGGAAUUUACUUUUCUAGAGAAAAUAUUAAAUUUUGAUCAACCAAACAUAUAAAAAUUGAGAAAUAUUUCCUCCAUACGAACACACCUUACUUUUAAAAUUCUCAGUUAUGGGGUUCAAACAUUUAUAAAUUCAAAAUCAAAGAAUGAUUAAUGGUGUUUAAGGGUUUUCGAUUAAAGUUUAGCUAUCUCCCUACUACUGGUCGCAAACAAUGGCUAAAUAUUCAUCCUAGACCUUAAAAUUGGUCAUUCCACUUGAUUUUUACAAGUGAUGCAAGAGCCCAUUCAAACAAUAAAAUUGGUUUUGGUCCCCAUAAAAUGGGUUAAGCCCAACAAAAUGCAUAGUAUAGAUGCACUCAAUUUUUCAUGUGGUAGUCCCUUGUUUAAAAUUGAACUUGAGUAGAAAGAGGGCACUGGGCUGUACAGCCCAGAAUGGCAGCCCAAUGUGCAUGUGAGAAGAAACAAAGCAAGAAAUUAAGGCCCGUCUGGGCAUUAAAAUCAUAAUUUUUUAGAGUUGGAGUUGAAGUUGAAUUUGGAGUUGGAGUUAUGUUUGACCAUGAAUAUAAAUUAAAAUUGUUUUUGAAAUUUUGUGAGAGAAGUAUGAGUGAAAAAAGUGAAAAUUUUACUUGUUUUCACUUUUCCAAAUACAAUUUCAAAUAUGCAGCUACAAGUGCACUAUUUUGAUGUGUAAUUUUGACUACUGUUUUUAUCAUAUCAUUAUGCAACUUUGUCUGCACUUUGGAUUGAAUCAUGUUUGACAGUCCAAUAAGAACAAUAACAUUCAAUUGUAAUCCCAAAGAAAGCCUUACACUAAGAGACCAUCCCACAAGACCUAACAAAAUUUACUCAAUUUCAAAUACAAUGCAGAGAUAAAGAACUACAUUACACUAAAAUAAGUCAAGAAUAAUUACAAAAGAUCAAAUUCAUUUCAAAAUAAAGGACAAUACACACCAUUAUACCAACUAACAAUAUCAAAUUCUUAGGUAAUUUUAUUGAGUCGUUCUUUACGUAGAUCAUUUCAAACCAAUAGCUAGUAGCUAUAACAACAACAGACCACGAUGAAAAAGAGGGCAUAUCCUUAGUCUUUUCUUUAGCCAUGUUACUUCUCCAUUUCUUCUCUUUUUCUUUCAUCUUUUCAAUCUCUUCUUCUAACUUUUUCAAAUUUAUAUCUACACAAUUAUCAUCUUCUUUGGAUACCUAGGCUUAUCAACUUCUUCAGAAGUUUUCGUAAUCAAUUUUUCAACUUCAUUGAAUAUUGUAGACUUGUUAUAUUGAGAUGAUUCUAUUAAAUUCUCAAGCUUGCCUAAUUUUUUAAUCCAUUUAGGGAUUACAAAUUUGAAUCUUGAAUCUGUAUUAUUUUCUUUAUCCUCCCAAUACCAAAAAUUGCAAGAUCUUGAACCCUUUUAUGAUUAAAAGAAAGAAAUCAGAAUUCAAUUGAAUUAGUUGGGAUAAUAAAAGAAGAAAUGAGAGCAAAAUAUGAUCUUUACCCCAUAGUAAUUACAUGCCCAAUAUCUUCUACCGGAAUUCAUCGAAGUCCAAGAUGUUUACAAAGGCACCACAAAUUCAUAAUUGCAUUGAACCUCUUGGUUCAAAGGAAAAUCUUCCUCCUCCAUACAAAUCUUACUCAAGUUAAUUGAUCUCAUGAUGUGCUACAAAAAAUUCAUUCAAAAAAAUUACAUAAAAUAGAAAAAACUUGAUAAGAAAUCAUAAUUUUUUUUAAAAGAAGAGAUGAAUUAUACCUUAUAAUGAAGUAAAGGUCUUAAUUUUUUUAAGGAAUUUCUGGCUUGAUUGAAGAUGAGGGAGAUGAGGAAAAAAAAAAAAGAAAAAUUAGGAUUCUUAAUGAAUUUGGGGCAAAUAUUAUUGUUGCCUUUGUUUUUAUUCCUUUUUUUUGUGUUAAAUUUUGACCUCAACGCGCUUUGAUUCAAUGGAAAAAUAUGCGCCCCAGUUAGAUACACGAUGGGGUAAAGAUAAUACACUUUGAAGUUUUUAAGGGGGAUAUAUAAAUUUCAGUCAAGUUUAAGUGCUAAAUAAAGUUGGAGUGACAAGUUUUGGGGGAUUUUUGAUGCAUUUUCUCUAAAAAUAUCAAUCAAUUUUUUUUUUUUUAAUGAAAAUAGUCUUCAUUAGAUAGUUUAAUCUACUAAAAAAUUGAUAUUCUUUCAUUAAAUAAUCCAUAUGAAAAAUUGAGUUGUGCACAUAUAAAAAAGGUCAAUAUAUGAAUAACAUAUUGUAUAUUCACAUAAAUUAAAAUUAAGAACUAAUUAAGGUUGCCACAUCAUUUUUUCGAUGUGAUUAUUGUAAAAUCUGGUCAUAGUGACUUUUGUGAUGGUCGGAGUAAGUUAAAUGACUUUCGUGUAAUGAAUGAAAGAAAAAUGAUUUUUUCGUAACAGAUGCAAAGUUAAGUGAUUAUGGAUGAAAUUUACUCAAUUAAUUAUUAUAAGUCAUUUAGGUAUUAAAAAGUUAAUGAUAUUUAAUAAAAAAAUUAAAACAAACGUUUAUGAUAUGACUGCUUCAGCUGCUUCAACCAUUAUUUAUAUCACUCGUAAUUAAUUAUUAUAAGUCAUUUAAGUAUUAAAAAAUUAAUAAUAUUUAAUAAAAAUAAUUAAAUAGACAUAAAAUGAUAAAUUAUUUUUUGAUAUUUUAAAUUAACUUGACGUCUUAUAUGUGACUACUUACAAAAAUACAAGUUUUUGUUAUAAUAAUUUUACUAUGUCACUUCUAAUUGGCAGAAGAGAACAAAAACUAUUAUAAAUCACAAUAAUUAAAAUACUUAAAUUAUUUAAAAAAUAUAAUUGACUAUCAAUGCCACAAAAAUUUGAAUAACUUAAAAUUUUAUUAUACAAAUUUCAUCAAUCUAAAUAUAAUUUUAUAUGCCUAACUCAGAAUUUAUCAACCAAACAAAUGAAUGUUUUAAUUAAAUAAUAGAAUUAUAUAUAAAAUAAAAAUUUUAAGGAACAAUAUUGAAUCGUACGUGGUACAAUGCAGCCGACUAGAAAAGAAACUUAACAUCGAUUUAAUAUUAAGUAAAUUUAUACAAUAAGCUUAAUGAAAAAAAUACAAAAUUUUCAAUUCAUCUAUCAUCUGAAAAUCACACGCUCAAUCAACUCAAACAUCCUUCAUUUCGAUUAGGCAUUGAUCAAUUGUUUUCUAUUAGACAUCUGUCUGCUAAUAACUGAGAAACAACAAGUCUUUGUCAUAUUAUAGUAGGACACAUGUCUUCUAAAGAUUAAUUCCAACGAUGAUUGAAAUGAAUUAUUAUGAAAUGGUCAUUUUUCAUGUAAUUCUUCUGGAAAAAACAUUAUCUUAUCUUUUCUAAUGAAAGAAAAAGUGAUUUUUGCAUAAUGGGUAUAAAGUUAAGUGACUAUAGAUAAAAUUUACUCAUUUAUUAUUAUAAAUUAUUUACACAUUAAAAAUUAAUAAUAUUUAAUAAAAAAUUAAAAUAGACAUUUAUGAUAUGAUUGUUUCAACUAUUUCAAUCGUGAUUUUGCUAUAUCACCUUUAAUUAAUUAUUAUAAGUCAUUUAAAUAUUAAAAAAUUAAUAAUAUUUAAUAAAAAAUAAAAUAAAUAUAAAAUAAUAAAUUAAUUUCUUUUAGUAGAAUAGAAGAAAAAUAUUAUAAAUCACAAUAGUUAAAAAUUUAAAUUAUUUAAAAAAUAUAAUUGACUAUCAAUGACACAAGAGUUUGAACAACUUAAAAUAUUAUUAUACAAAUUUUAUUAACCUAAAUAUAAUAAUAUAUGUCUAAUUUAAAAUUUAUCAAUCAAAUAAAAUAAAGAUUUUAGUUAAAUGAUAGAAUUACAUAUAAUAUACUAUUGGGAGCGCUGCAACCUUAAUGGAUCUGUAACGCGUGAUUCAAAUUCGUUGGGGCGAAUACCAAACACUGAAUGACAAACCAAAAAAAAAAAGUAAAAAUUUUAAGGUUGAAUGGAUUAUAUACGUAGCACAGCGUAGCCGACUGGUGUGUAUAUAUAUAUAUAUAUAUAUAUCUGACAAAAAGGAUCAAUGAUACGUGUAAUAUAUUCAUAAAAAAGCAAAGAAAAUGAAUUUGUCUUUCGUUGCAAUUCUUAUCCUUAUACUUUCCUUUCCAUCCCCGUCAAUCUCAGUGAGAUGCAAUCCAAAAGACAAACAAGUUCUUCUGCAGAUCAAGAAAGACUUGGGCAAUCCCUACCACUUGGCCUCAUGGGAUCCAAACACAGAUUGUUGUUAUUGGUAUGUUGUAAAAUGUGACAGGAAAACCAACCGGAUUAAUGCUCUCACUGUCUUCCAAGCCAAUAUCUCCGGCCAAAUUCCUACCGGUGUCGGCGACCUCCCGUAUCUCGAAAUCUUGCAAUUCCAUCACAUCACAAAUCUCACUGGAACCAUUCAGCCUACUAUUGCUAAGCUCACAAAUCUCAGAAUGUUAAGACUCAGCUUUACUAAUCUCACUGGUCCUAUUCCUGAGUUUCUUAGCCAGCUCAAAAAAUUGACUCUACUAGAGUUAGACUACAACCAAUUGACUGGAACAAUACCGGCAUCACUUUCUCAACUUCCUAAUUUAAAUGCUAUUUACUUAGACCGCAACAAACUCACUGGACAAAUCCCAGAAUCAUUUGGGAAAUUCAAAGGACAAAUACCAGAUAUUUACCUUUCCCAUAACAGCCUUACUGGACAAGUGCCAAGAUCCUUAGGUGACUUAAACUUUAGCACACUUGAUUUCUCAAGGAACAAGCUUGAAGGAGAUGUUUCUUUCUUGUUUGGGAAGAACAAGACUAUUCAGACAAUUGAUCUGUCGAGGAACGCAUUGGAGUUCGAUCUUUCCAAAGUGGAGUUACCUGAGAGUUUAACAUCAUUGGAUUUGAACCAUAAUCGGAUUUUUGGUAGCUUACCACAAGGAUUGAAAGACUUACAGUUACAGUUUUUUAAUGUGAGUUAUAAUAGGCUCUGUGGACAGAUUCCACAAGGUGGAACGUUGCAGACCUUCGACAUGUACUCUUAUUUGCACAACAAAUGCCUUUGCGGCUCUCCUUUGCCGGACUGUAAGUAAGUUCAGUGAUCGAUCCACGGUUUCAGAGUGCUGGGUGGGGUUUUCUGAAACCGACGAAUUUAGUAUUUAUAUAAAUAAUUUUAGUAAUUAUAUAAUGAAUCCAUAUAAUUAUAUUAUGUUAUUGGUCCAGUUGAGCAGAGAAACUUGUUGAAUCUGCCUCUAUUUGCUGGACAACUACUUUAUUACAAACUGUACUAGCUCAAUAACGAGUGCAUAUAUCACUGCUGUUCAUAUGUACUUUCACGUCCUAAUAUCAAUAUAAUGUUUUUCCUCUUUUUCUUUUUUCUUUCAAAAAAGUAAUACUGUAUGUUGAAGUAAUAUACAGGUGAAGAUGGUUAGGAGGUUAUAAUGGGGGCAUAACUAUUGUCAUAAUUGUCCAACGAUUGAAAAUCUGAAAAAUUGAUGGCUCAUUAUGUGAAGUAAAAUCGCACUUGUAGCCUAGAAAAUAAAUUUACAUACAUUGUUUUAAGGGAAAAGGGACAAAUAUAUCCCUCUACUUUGAUUAAAUGGUUAAUUUUGUUUUUCGUUAUAUUAUAGGAUUAAAUAUGUCCUUACUGUUAGCAAAAUUCACAAAUAUACCUCCUAAUUUAACAUAUUUUUCCAAAUUGACUGAAUUUUCUUAUUUCACACAAAAUUAUCCAAUUUUCUAUUAAAUUUGAUCCGGAACCGUUGAAUAAAUUUAAUCCACAUCUAUCAAACCUCUCGAAAUCAUCUUCUUCAAUUUAUAGAAGUUAGAACAAUGGGCACAUGAAACUUGGAAUGAUUGAGAUUCAAAGUUUGAACUUGAAAUCACGUAGAUUCAUAUCUUUACAAAAUAUACACUGAUCCAUCUAUUAAUCGCAUCAUUAAUGGGUGUUUUAUGAGAUCGAUUUAUUCUGACGAAGAGAACUCAACGUUCCUUGCCGAUGCUUAUCUCCACUCUCCGCCGAUCAGUUUCUCAUGCUUUACAUGAUGAUCAUCAAAUUUUGCUCUUAUAUAUCUCACAUUAUUGUUUAUGUCACACCCUUUUUUUAACUUCUAAAAAGAUUAGAUUUUAUGGUUCGAAAGGGUUUUUAUUAUUAAAGUGAUAAAAAUGAAGAUUUUGUUUCGAAAAGGAUUAUUUACAUUUAAAUUCAGAGUCGCCACUUGGCAUAAUUUGGUGUGCCAAGUCACCAUUGGAAAUUCUUUUUCAAAAACGAUUUCGACUCUUUUAAACUGAUCCGCGAACAGAGAUUCCGGUUAAGGAAUUCUUUUGACCAAAUGGAAGGUGUUAGGCACCCCUCGAUCCCAUGGUUCGACCAUGGUCACUUGGUGGAACAUAUCGGCUAAUUUGGCACUAUGAAUGUAUAAACUACGUAAAACACUUAAACAAGCAACAAACAAAUAAAACAAAGUUCAAAAUCAAAAUAAUGUCCAAUCCGAGUUAUACAGUCUCAAAUAGAAAAAUUGCGAAAAAUAUAAAUCCUAUUCUAUACUACCCCUAGACUAAGCUCCAUCCGCCGCCUCGGGUCUUCGUCACGAACGUCCUCCGGGUACAAACUACUUUGGGGCAUUCCCCGGCAAAUAAGCACAAAUACCUCGGGGCAUUCUCCGACCGAAUGAAUACAUCUGAAUUAAAUAAGAUAACUAAAAAAAUAUUCAAAACGCACAUUUAAACAUUCAAAGUAUUCAAUCAACACAUCACUCCUGAAUUUUUGCCUACCCGAACCUAUAUUGCCUAUCCAUUUCAACACGUCACAAAUCUAUCCCAUUCAUGCUUAUUCCGACUUAAACAAAAAGACAACAAACGAAAAUUAACCUACAUUCAACUUCUAUCAAUUUCUCAAUUCCACCCCCCGCUAGCUUUGUUUUUGUCAAUUACACCAAAAUUACUCCAAUUUGUUUCACAUAUCGCCGAAAUCACGUCGUCAAGCACAUAACCAUAACAUCAUAAUAUCAACAAAAUUCAACAAUUAUGACCACUCCAUACAUAAUCAAAACCAAUUCAACCAAUCAAGAUAAAAGAGAAUGAGUUAAAGAGAUGGACCUCGAUAGAACUUGUUUUCCUUGAUAAUAAAAAAAAUCCGAGACUGAAAUUCUCGAACAAGAACCCCAAUGACGAACGAACCGAAAUCAGUAUAGAGAUCUAACCCGAACAGAUUAAGAACCAAUGGAAAAUCUCAAAAUAGACGAACCCAGCCCUAUAUCAAAAACCCCAAAGCACGAUAUCGAAAGACAAAUCGUGAACAAACGAGAACCAAAGUAUCCAAAAUCCGAGCAAUAGAUGAAAACCAGUACAAACCUUAGCUCCGGCGAGCUGUGAGGGGAAAAAGCUGACGAAAAAGGUCAGAUUUCGACGACACAAUAACUUGAAACCAAAUUUCAUUUCCCCUUUCAAUUCUCCCCUCUAUCUCUCACUUGAUUUCACUCUCUCUUCCCCUCCAAUUCUCAAAUCUUCCUCAGAUCUGUGCGUGUAUUGAUAUGUCGAUAGGAGGUCCAAGGUGGGUCGGAGAUAUGAUGGUGCGUGAGUAUGAGAUGAAGAUGAUGAUAAAACCCCCUUCAAUAUUGGUUCCUAUAUCUGUAUAUGUACUCAAUCAAGAAGAAAACCAAAAGAGGAAAGUCGGGUUCAUCCGUGAGGUCCCCCUAUAAAAAAUUCCUGGAACAUGUAUAUUGUUGAGGGAAUUUUUCUCUCCCCCGUGGAGCCCCUUGAUUUGUGAGAUGUGUAUGUGGUGUGUGCGAAAGAAAAAUGAUCCCCCCUCCUGAUUGUUUUUUUUUUCUGUAUAUAUUUAUGGAUAUAUAUAUCUUUAUGAAAUUGGGAAAAGAUAAAAGAAAGGGAAUCUUUUUGGUGGUCCCCCUAAAUGGAAAAUUAUUUGUGAUUUGGUUAAAAGAAAUGAAAAGAAACGUGAGGGGGUGGUGACGUUGGGUGUAGGGGUGAGGGGGUAUCUUGUUAGGAUAAGAUAAAAUUAGUUAGGGGUUGUUAUUUUUUGUUCUUUUAUGAGGAAUAAUUACACGAUUGGUGGUGCACGGUAGUAUAAGGUAAAAAUAGGAAAAUUAAUCUUUCAUAGGGAUAAAAUUACGUGUCUACAUCAUGCCCCUUUUGAAUGUAAACACAGAGUGUUUUCAUACAAAGAAGUAGACAACGAGUCAGAAUUUUGUCUCGAUCAUUAUUCAAAGGAAGAAAUAGAAGGAAGAAGGACAACCAAAUCUUGACUUAGGACAACCUACCUACCCAAGUUAUGGGGGAAUCAAUUGACAGGUAUCUCAAAAAAUUGGAAGGAAAUGGACUAUACCGAGUUGGAGAGUCGAGAGAGGUUUCAUCGAGGUUUCGGUCCGCGGCUCUGUAAUUACAUCAAAAUGAAAAUUACAAGUUAAUACAUAAAUGAAAUUACAAAAUCCUAUCUAUACAGCUUCUGUUGGACUCUUGACUUAAGUCUCAUCACUCUAUUCUUCAGGCGGGUUCCUGACUUGCAAUUUCAUCACUUGUUGUUUGGUUUUCAAUUGCUUCGCUUCAUUGCUCGACUCUCAUUUGUUCUCCCUGCUCUUCCGGCGGGCUUCUCACUUGCCAUUUUUAUUUUUCAAUUUCAUUAACCUGCUCUUCAGGCGGGUUACUGACUUGCAAUUUCUUCCAUUUCCCAUUUCAUCACCCUGUUCUUCAGGUGGGCUCCUGACGUACAAUUUUCUCACCCGGUUCUUCAGGCGGGCUCCUGAAAUCAAACUAAGAACUAGAAAUAAAAUUAUCCCCAACAAAGAUUAAGAUUAAGAGAGACUUCAUUUUUCUGAAAGUAAUGUCCCAUUUUUCAGGAGGGUCCUGAACAUAAAGUAAUGUCCCAUUUUUCAGGAGGGUCCUGAACAUAAAGUAAAUUUCCAUUUUUCAGGAGGGUCCUGAACUGAAAGUGAAAUCCCAUUUUUCAUGAGGGUCCUAAACAAAAAGUAAAAUCUCAUUUUUCAGGAGGGUUCUGAACAGAAAGUAAAAUCCCUUGGACAUGCUUUCCAAUGACAACAAAACUUUGCCCUUGUUUCAUCAAAAAAAAAAAUUUCAGUUGAAAACUUAGUGCAGCGGAGAUGGCUUGAACUAUUAAAGGACUAUGAUGUUGAUAUCUUGUACCAUCCAGGGAAAGCAAAUGUGGUAGCUGAUGCGUUAAGUCGUAAGGCUAUGAUGGCGCCUAUAGAAAGGCAAGGGAUGGUUAAAGAUCUUCACCAGUUAGCUAGUUUGGGAGUUCGCCUUCUUGAAACUCCGAAUAAAGAGCUUAUCGUACAUAAUGCUGCGGAAUCUUCAUUAGUAGCUGAAGUGAAAGAGAAGCAAUAUGCAGACCCUAUUUUAUUACAGCUUAAGGAGAACGUUCAGAGUGGUGCGACCAAGGCAUUUGAGCUUACGCGAGAAGGAGUACUUCAGUGCCAAAACCGAUUGUGUGUGCCGGAUAUAGACGGGCUAAGAAAGAAGAUUAUGACAGAGGCACAUUUUUCAAGGUAUUCCAUUCAUCCAGGAUCAACCAAAAUGUAUCAAGAUUUGAAAGAUAUGUAUUGGUGGAAUGACAUGAAGAAGAGCAUUGCAGAAUUUGUAGCUGAAUGUCCAAAUUGUCAAAGAGUUAAAGUUGAGCACCAAAAACCCGGAGGCUAUAUGCAAUGCAUAGAUCUUCCAAUUUGGAAGUGGGACAUGAUCAACAUGGAUUUUGUUACAGGUUUGCCUCGUACAGCUCGAAAAUUUGAUUCUAUAUGGGUGAUUGUGGAUAGGCUUACUAAAUCCGCACAUUUCUUACCCGUUAAGACCACUUACACAGUUGAAGAAUAUUCGAAGCUGUAUGUUAAAGAAAUAGUCCGAUUACAUGGAGUGCCAACUUCUAUUAUAUCGGAUCGGGGAACUCAAUUUACUGCAAACUUUUGGAAGUCUUUCCAACGGGGUUUGGGAACACAAGUGAAUCUGAGUACAGCUUUUCACCCUCAGACGGAUGGACAAGCAGAGCGCACCAUUCAAACACUUGAAGAUAUGCUACGAGCAUGUGUUAUAGAUUUUAAAGGCAGCUGGGAUGAUCAUUUACCUCUUAUUGAGUUUGCCUACAAUAAUAGCUAUCAUUCAAGUAUCAAAAUGGCACCAUAUGAAGCUUUAUAUGGGAGAAAGUGUAGAUCACCAAUAGGAUGGUUCGAAGCGGGUGAAACUCUUAUGUUCGGACCGGAUCUUGUGUAUCAAGCCAUAGAAAAAGUCAAGGUGAUUCAGCAACGGUUGAAAACAGCCCAAAGUCGACACAAGUCAUAUGCGGAUAGUAGAAGAAGAGGGCUAGAAUUUUCGUUAGGCGAUUGGGUAUUUUUGAAGGUAUCGCCAAUGAAAGGGGUGAUGAGAUUUGGCAAGAAAGGAAAGUUGAGUCCACGAUAUAUAGGCCCGUAUAAAAUUAUUCGAAGAUGUGGGCAAGUUGCUUAUGAAUUAGAUCUACCCCAGGAACUAUCAUCAGUGCAUCCAGUAUUUCAUGUAUCGAUGCUUCGAAAGUGCAUCGGAGAUCCGUCCCUUAUUACUUCUACUGAAGAUGUGCAAGUAACAGCAGAUCUUACCUAUGAGGAGAUGCCUAUUGCUAUAUUAGAUCGACAAGUUAAGAAGAUGAGAAAUAAAGAAGUAGCAUCGGUGAAAGUACUUUGGAGAAAUCAACAAAGGGAAGAGAUUACAUGGGAAGCUGAGGAAGCAAUGAAAUCUAAGUACCCUCAUUUGUUCAAAGAUGAAGAGGAAGUUCAAGAAACGGAGUUAGAACAUUAACAAGUAAGUUUUUGUUUAUAUAUGCAUAGUAUUUAUGUGAUGAUGUGAAUGUUAAUGGUGGACUUGAACUUGUUUCGGCUAAAUAACUACAUUCACAUUCGAGGACGAAUGUCCUUAAGGGGGGAAGGAUGUAACACCCCGUACUUAAUUACGUGCAUUAGUCAUUGUUAUAUGUGUUGGAGUAUAUGUAUUGAUCCUAAGUUAGGUAUAUAUGAGUUUAAGUAUGAGUAUUGAUUAUUUUGAGAUGGUUUCAAGUGUAUAGUUUGAUUAUAGGUGUAUAGGAAUCGACUUUAUUUAUAUCGGAAUUUUCCCGUCGAUGGUUCCAUACGAAGGUUAUUGAAUAAGCUUUCCAACGAUAUAAAGAUUUCCAAAAACGGAUAAGUUUCGGAUAUAAGCGAGCUCGUUCGAAACUUUAAAACGGUGGCCGGGAUGUGAACAGUAAAAUGUGCAGGAAACUACUGAGGCCUGCCAGUUUUUUGGGUCAACUUUGAACGAUCAUAACUCCCUCAAUAUAAUGAACUGGUUGAGCUACCAUAUAUCAAAAGAAAGAUCUUUGAGUCUUCUUUCCAAUGAAAUUGGUUUCAUCCAAAUCCAACAUCUGAGUAAGGAGUUAUACUCGUUUUACUUCAGCCUCUCAAAACAGAUUUUUAGGGUCAACUUCAAACGAUCAUAACUACUUGUACAGGACGAACUGGGUGGAUUAAUUUAUAUUAAAUGAAAGACCUUUGAAUUAUCUUUCUAACGAUACCAAUUUCACCCAAAUCCGAUAUCGGAGCAAAGAGUUAUGGCCGAUUUACUUUAGCCUAUCAAAACAGUCCACCAUGGACAGAUUCGGAUUUACUUAAAUUUUUAAGGGCAAUAUGGUCAUUUUCCAUCACCUCAUGGACGAAAAUUGGUCAUUAUAUACAUAUACUUAGCCUUAUAUCCACCAUUUAUCAUCCAAAUCAUUGAAGAAUAAGAAACCCUAGCCUAAGUUCAACUCCAAUUAUCUUGUGAUUCAACCGUAGAAAAUCCAAAUUGAUUCCGUAGUUGUGUUCACCGUCUCAAGGGCUUCGAGAAGCACCCCUUAUUUGUGCCAACAGGACUUCGAAAUCAAAAGGGCCAUUUUUUUUGGUAAGGAUGUAAAUUAUGUUGGUGUUAUUUAUAUGGAUAUGUAUAUAUAUAUAUAUAUGCAUGUGAGCAUAAGAAGUAUGUUAUUUGAUUGUUGUUGAAAGAUGAUUGGAAAUGAUGUUGGAUUAUUCUUGUGCAUGGUUGGAUUAUGUUAAAUUGUGAAGGAAUUUGGGGUGAUGAUGUGGUAUUGAUGAUGUGGUAUUGAGAUGAUGAUUAUAUACAUAUACACACAUAAACCUAUUGUUCAAGUUGGUUUUUGGAAUGUUUUGCAAAUAUUGGUAGUAUGGAAUUAUGGAAGAGAAUUGUGGUGUUGGGUUGCUAAUACUAGAUGCCAAACAUUUCAUUGUAGAUAAGUGAUUUGUAAAGGCGGGAAGUUGUGUUGAAUUGGUAUCUGAAUCUACAACGAGGUAUGUAAAGCAUACUCUAACAAUGUUCUUUGGCAUGAAAACACCAAUGUUCCAUCAAGUAAGAUUCCGAGGUUGUCCAAAAACAUGUAUUGUUCUACGUUACCAACGAAGUUGUUUCCAUCCUAUAAAGUGUCAAAAUGUUCAUUGAUAUACCAAAAGGCUCUUAUUUCAUUGUUGUGAUAUUGAUGAUUCUGAAACAUAUUGUUGAUGUACCAAUGAGUCCUUAUUACAUCGUUAUUGUAUAGAAGGUCUAUUACUUGGUUCCUAUUGAUGUAUCAUUGUUUCAAGGUAUCAAAAAUGUGGUGACGACCGAAAUAACAAUCUCAAAGAUUAAUUGAACUAAGUGAUGAAAGUUCUCUCUUAUCGGGUGGUAUCCCAGGGGCAUAAGCCUAGCAUGGGUCGAUCCCUAUUUCAUGUGUUUAUGGGUGGUAUCCCAGGGGCAUAAGCCUAGCAUGGGUCGAUCCCAGUUGAUAUGUACUGGAGGCAUCCUAAUGGUCACAGUACAGUACAGUAAUGAUUACAAAGACGAUAAGAACGAAGGUAAAGUGAUUGAAUAAAUACAAUGUACAGGUUGUCACAAGUUCUAGUAAGUGUGGUCCACUCCUAUUACGACUUAUUCACUUGUUUCUGAUUUCUAUUGAGCUCCUAUAUCAUAUGUGAUUAUUUACAGCUUUACAUACUCAGUACAUAUUUCGUACUGACGUCCCUCACGGGGGACCUGCAUUUCAUGCUGCAGGCACAGGUACCUCAACUCAUACACCGCACAAGUAGGAGCCAGGUCAUACAGCUAUUGUUGGUGAGCUCCAGUUUGCUUCGGAGCUUUCCGAGUCGGUUCCUUAUGUUUUGUUAUUGUACAUGAGUCACGUGUGGGCGGGGGUUUGUCCCGACCCUAGUUAUGUCAUGUAUAUCCUAGAGGCUUUGUAGACAUAAGGAAGGGUAAAGUCAUGGAAGUUUAUAUAGUAACGUUAUAUUUGUAUAUGUGGUGGCCCCGACGGCCAAGUAUUAUAUAUAUAUAUUUGUGCGUGUUGUGCUGAUACAGGUAAUUAGACCUUUCUAUAUGCAACGAAGUGCUGUCCAAUUUUUUUGGUGACAUGUAAGUGAAAGUACAGGUAUUUGAACGGGUUCUCCCGGGCCUUCUCGGCUUCGGGUGCCAGUCCGGCCCGAUGGGAUUUUGGGGCGUGACAGAACAACAUUGGAUAACCAUAUAGGAUAACGAGCCACUCGAAUAACUUUGGCUUCAAGUUGUUUCAUGAUUUCCUCUUUGAUUUUGAUACUUACAUCAAUUUUAAACUUCUUCAACUUUUGUUUCAAAGGGGGGAAUGCAGGAUCAGUGGGCAAUUUAUGGGCCACUAAUUCGGUGCUUAGACCAGGCAUAUCAUCCUUAGACCAUGCAAAAACAUCCUUGUAAUCAAUUAAUGCUUGAAUUAUUCCAUCUUUUAUCCGUGGCAAAGCAUGUACACUGAUUUUAGUUUCCUUAACAUCUUCUUGAUUCCCUAGAAAGUUUCAUUCAAAUUGAUAUUCGGUUUGCCUUCAAACUGUUCCAACUCUUUGCUUAUUUAUUCUAGUGCCUCUUCUUUAUCAUAUUCCCCCUCUUGCUUUCUUAUAUCUUGAUUAGUUUGGAUUUUAAGAUCAGGCUAAAAAUUUCGCAUGCAUGUCAUGUCAUUAGAAUCAGCAUAAAGAGAACUGUAUAAAGAAAAGGACAAAAACAAAAUAUAUUAGACACAAAAUAAGGGGACAUUGCAUUUCAUUAAAAAAGGGAAAGAUAGGAGGGUUUAAACACAAAUGACAACAGAAUAUAAACAAGCUAAACUUUGAAUCACAACCCUGGAAUGACUCGAAUAAAUAGAAAGAAAAACAAAUGAACUACCAAAACUCCCUCCUUACAGGGAGAAGAGUGACUUCCCAAUUGUUGAGCUGGACCUCAGGACCUAUGAACAAUACAUCCGCCUUACUGGUACCCUCUCUUGUUUCAACCAUUACAACAUCAAUCAGUAGGUUCUGGAAGUCACCAACCAAUUCAGCUUCAAAUUCUAAUGGUUUCGUGACAUUGCUCUUGACAAAUGAUUCCCUGAGUAGCAGCAUUGGGCAAGGGAGUGACCAUGUUUCCUUUUUCCUACCCUUGGCCUUCUUCAAAUCUUUAGCCAUAGGUUUAAAUCCCAGACCAAAAGUGCCCAUAAUCUCUCUCGGACAUAUGGGAUAAACGAUAUCGUGCAGAGACAUUCCCAAACCCUUCCCUGGCAUAAAUCCAUAUUUCAAAAGCUCACUUACCAUCAUAAUAGAAGCGGAAGACAAUUGUGGUCCCGGGAUAACCUGUCCUUCAAGGAUACGAUCUACUGGCACUGUAUCAAAAGUUUGAUAGAAAAAUGUCUCUUCUACAUUAUUUGCUUCAAUAAGGGACAAGGGAGAAUCUUCGUAGGCGGACAAAUCCCCUUCACCAUGAAUAAGCACUUUUUGCCUGUCAUGCUCAAACUUUAUCAUUUGGUGCAAUGUAGAUGCCACCACCUUGGCCUUAUGAAUCCACGAUCUUCCCAACAACAGAUUGUAAGAGGAGUCUAUAUUCAAUACUUGAAACUCUAUAGUGAACUCAACAAUCCCUAUAAUCAACAUUAGUUCUAUUUCGUCAAUGGAGUUUGAUUUUGCACUAUCGAAAGCCUUGACACAUACAUUGUUGGGUCUGAUCCUCUCCACACCAAUAUUAAACUUUUGUAAAGUAGAAAUAGGGCAGAUAUUUGCACCUGAACCUCUGUCAAUCAUGACAUGAGUGACAUAGAAAUCUUCGCACUUCACCUUAAUGUAAAGACCUCGGUUAUGCCCCGAACCUUCAACAGGCAACUCAUUGUCAGAGAAGCUGAACCAAUUGACCUCAAAUAUUUUUUCAACCAUUUUCUCAAGAUGAUUUACUAUAAUCUCCCUAGGAACAUAUGCUUCAUUUAAUAACUUUAGUAUAAUAUCACGAUGUUCCUUGGAAUUCAACAACAAAGAUAAGAUGGAAAUUUGAACUAGGGUUUUCUCCAACUGAUCUAUUAUUGAAUACUCUGGCAACUUCAUCUUUUUCAAAAAUUCUUUGGCUUCUUCUUCGGUGACAGGCCUUUUGAUAGACGAAGGUCCACUCACAAUUGACUUGGACUUCCUUAAACUUUCAGGCAUGAAGCAUCUUCCUGACCGAGUCAGACCCCCUACCUCAUCUACAUAUUCCACUACUUUCUUCCCCUGAUAAGUCAUCACAGUCCGCUCAUAGUUCCAGGGAACCUUUUUCGUAUCAACUAUCGGAGGUUGGGUUAUCGGUUUGAUGAUAAUAGGCACCGCAAGUGCUACUUUUACCGUCAAUAUAGGCUUACACGGAGCUCCUAUCACCGUCAACUUAGGCUUGUCUUAACUUAAACCAACGACUGCUCUGAAUUCUUUCACUGUAAUCACGGGUUUCUUUGUGCUUUCUUGGACUUUAGCUUUUCGUGUUCCUUUCUGGAUUAAUGACAUUGCUUUCAACGAAUCAGCUACAUUCACCAAUUUUUCCUCAUUGGUUUUUAUCUUGACAAUAGGCUUAUAACACCUUAACGACUCUUUCUCAUCAUAUAUCAAUUCUAACAUAUUGGUUUCAGCAUGGGUUAGUAGCAGAUUCUGGUUAAUGUUUGGAACCUCCGGGGCCUGGACCAGCAUUUGAUUUGUGUCAAUUAAAUCUUGGACAACUCUCUUUAUAUGCCAGCAUUUCUCGAUAUCAUGGCCUGGCAUGUCAGAACAGUACGCACACCUUAAAGAAUAAUCGAGAUUCCUCGAAGGUGGAUUUGUAAGCCUUCCCUGAAUUGGGCUUAAGAUCUUCAUCUUUCUCAACCUAUCAAACAAGCUAGCAUAUGACUCCCCAAGAGGUGUGAACUAAUUUUUGACCGCCUUCUUCUUCUUGUACUCGGGCCUGGGUUGAAAACUGGGUCUAGAGGGGUUUUGGUAAUUUGGAGGAGCUGAUGGACGAUUUUAUGGAGCUUGCACGCGCCAUUGCGGGUAAGAAUGGGUUUGGGCAUAUGGCUUCGUGCUAUAUACUGGGUACAGGGGUGGUAGAAUAGAAUAUAAUAGGUUUUGUGGAGGGUAGUAAUGGUGGGGAGGAAUAUAUGGAGCUUAGGCGUAGACUUGGGCUUGGGAUUGGGGAUAGGGGGAAGGCGGUCUUUUGAUAUAGGAAUGGGCUCCAGCUACAACGGUCGCCACGUCCUCUUUCUUUUUUUAACCUCCAAACGUACCAGAUCCACCUUGAAUCGCUUGUGUGGUGGCCUUCAACGCGGAAAAACUCACUAUUCGACUGGUCUUAAUUCUGUCCUCUAUCAUCUCUCCCAUUUUAAGAACUUCAAUAAAAGACUUUCUCAUUGCCGAAAGUAAAUGCUGAAAAUAAGUCUCAUCUUGUAUUUGAAUGAAGACCUCUACCAGCUUAGUCUCCUUCAUUGGGGGCUUUACCCUGGUAGCCUGUUCACGCCACCUUAUCGUGUAUUCCCUAAAGCCUUUAGUGCUUUUCUUCUUCAUGUUGACCAAGGAUUUUUUUUUGGAAUCAGGUCGAUAUUAUACUCAAAAUGUUGUACAAACUCAGAAGCUAAGUCAUCCCAGCUAUUCCACUUGUCAAUAUCUUGAUCGACAAACCAUUCUGAAGCCAGAUCGAAAAGACUCUCGCCAAAGAAAUCCAUAAGCAACUUUUCCCUUCCACCUACAGCCCUCAAUUGGUUGCAAUAAUGUCUCAAGUAUGCCACAGGAUCACCAUGCCCAGCAUACUUAUCGAACUUAGGCAUUUUAAAACCGAGGGAAAGGUUGACGUCUGGGAACAUGCAAAGAUCUUUAUAGGAAACACUCUUAUAACCUCCGAUUCCCUACAAAUUCCUCAUGGCCUGUUCCAAACUUUUCAAUUUCCGCACUAUAACUUCCUGUUCCUCUGUUGCGACAGGUUUCUCCGUAUUAAAUGUAAAUGCAGGUGGCUGAGUGUACCCAUAUGGUUCAUUCAUUCUCAAAGUAGGUUCCGGGGCAUAAUACUGACUAUCUGAAAUCUUUAAUACUGGCUCGCUAGCAGAUCAAGGAAGCACCAUUGUCGGACACAUAACAUAGGUGGGAGCUUCAGGUGGUGGCGGAGCCACGAAAAUAGGUGCUACCGAUGGCGCUGGCUGAGCAGCGGGCGUUGAUUGGGGAACUGCCAAAGGCACACUAGAAGUGCCAGGAUAAUAUUACCGUGGAGUGAAUCCUGGCGCGUGUUCCGGUGACUCCAUGGAAGCAGAGAAUUGAGCCUGAAAAGUGGUGGGCAGUUAGAGAUAUUCCCAAGAUCUUCAGGGAGCGGAGGAGGAGGCAUGCCACUAGCCCAUGCUUGGUACAGAUCUAUUAAUUGUUACCUGACUCUUAGAACCUCAUCAUUGCAUUUUGAACUUUCCUCUCAGGGAUCCUAAUCUGGGUCAAUGAGCGAAUUUUCAAUCUCUCUACUAGCCAUGACGAGCUUUGUUUUUGAUUUAGAGAAGUACGGGUGACUAGCCAGAGUACUGUAAACCAACCACUAUUAUAUGGAAGAAGAUGCUCAUCAAAGACAACACCAGUUAGGAUUAGGUCACACAACAAGCAUGGGAAUCACAUUGGUAAAAUUGUCCUAGAUUCAUGUUCAUUUCUACCAGCCUUUGAGGGUAGCGAGGUGAUUUUAACAUCAUCCCGAUUUUCAUCUACACUCAUUUGCUUCUUUCCUCCAACCACACCUCUUUUCUUUCACCCUCACUUCUCUUUUCUUUCGCAUCAGUCACUUUCCUUCCUUUUUUCGUCUCAUCAUCCUUUCUUUCUUUUCUUCUCUCGCUAUCUACCUUCUUUUAUCAUUCUUUAUGGCUUUUGCUUUUCUUUAGAAUAGGAAAAAUAAUGAAACAAAAUGAUUAGAUCAAGCCCAAAAGUAGGUUGCCUACGUAUCAUGUUGUACAUGAAUCAGAUCUUGCGUAGUUUGGGAUGCAUAUGCAUAAACAUCACAUAAUUAAGGGUUUUUUUUUCACGAAAAACGAAAAACAAACAAACAAAAAAAAGACGUAACAUUAUAACAUUUUGAUGAAACAAACAACAAAAACAUACAACGAAAUUAAGACAACCUCGAUACUAAUCAACAAAGACUGAAUGACAUUCUAGACUAACAUGACAACAUACAUAAUGAUCCUAAUAAAGACUCCAAAGUUAAAGCAAACUUAACACCGACUUAAAAAAGAUACAAUACUACAAAUGGCAGAAAAGUAAAGGACUUAAAGUAAACAAAAGAUAGGAAAUGCUCCUUCAAACUGGGACUCUGCCUGAUGACCCUGGCUGAGAUGGACCUGCCUGUGAAGUUCUCUUUUUCCCAUUCAAACUAUAUAGCAUAUCUUGUAAGGACCCUUCGAUAUUUGGAAAGAUGCCUCUGGCACGUAUUCCUUCCUCAUGAGGAGUACACUUGAAAAUCCUAUUCUGACACCCCUCCAUAGUUUUGAGCAAACCUAAUAACUGACCCCUUAGUGCCUCUACUUUGGCCCCCGCCCCUUCAUCCUGAUGGUCGCCAACUAUGCAUUCAUCUUGCAUCCUUCCUCUAAGCUGCACUGGUAAUGGUAUGCUGAUACCCCGAGGAAUAGAUUGUAACCAGAUUCCAUAUUCUUGAGUGUAUUCGGGAUUAUCGAAACCUUCCCUGAGAGUAUCCAUGCCCUGCCAUGUUGCAUUACUCCAGAAUUGCUCAUACUUGAUCUCACCCCUGGCUUGGUCUGUAAAGUACCCAAUUGACGUAUUACCCUAAGAGGAGCGUAUGGUCCGGUACAAUUAAGCCCCAAUAAAACUAGAUGGAGGUGUAUGCUCGAUCCAACCAAGAUUACUUUCGGUCGGAACCAUAGAUAGGUCCACAAGACAUUGCUAUCUGUUCUUGAUUCAAGAAACUCAACCCAAGCGUCGACUUCUAUAAGCAAUGAGAAUUUAGCAAAACCCAUUUUAUGUUCUAUGGUUUCCACUCGACUAGGCAGACAACGGUCAAUCACAUCAAAUUUAAGCAAAGAAGGGGCAUGCAAAUGCUCCAUCAUCCGUAGUUGUAACACUAGGUUGCUCCCCUAAAAAAAUUGCAUACCCCCUUUUAUCUCGGUCAAAGCUUUGUAUAUUUUCACCAAGAUCAGAGGCACGAUAGGGACCUUGUCUCCCUUGUCCUUGUUAAAUAAGGACAUCGCUAUAGAUUGCAACCGAGUAUUAAUACGCCUAUCUUCCAGGGGGAAUACCAAAGUUCCUAACAGAACAAAAGCGAAGACUUUAAGGCGACAUUUAUCCCAAUUCUUCUUGGUUGUAUAAAAUUCAUCCCAAAAAUAAUCAAAACCGUCUAGGAGGCCAAACCGAGAAUACAAGUAAUCGAAAGAGAUCCAAGAUUGGUUAAGAAAACCCAGAUGGUCAUUAACUUUCAACCCAUAAUAGUGGAGAAACCUAUUGGGAGAAUGACACCGCGCUUGAAUCAUCAUCUUUUUAAUGUAGGGCAAUUUAAAUAAACCAGGUAUAUCCGCUAGGGUAGGUGUCAUUUCACAACUUUCGAACCUAAAAACUAGACAAGUUGGAUCCCAAAAAGUCAAUGCAGCCUCAAUCAAGUUUGGACGGGGUAUGAUAGACAAGAGAGAAGUUAGAGUGCCUAGCUUCUUUGAUAACUCAUGCCUUUCAGAGUAGUUGAACGUGCCCCACUUGAUUAACUUUUUGGGCACUUUAGAAACCAUUAGGACUUUAGACCUUGGAGGCAGAUCCAUCCUGUAACAACACACAAGGCUUAUGAUUUAACAAUUGAUAAAAAGGGAGAAGUUCCCGACCCUCAGGAUUUUGACACGGACAGGUUAUCAUGAAGAAACAAACCACUUUAGACUCAGAUUAAAACAAAUGGUACCACUAAGUGCGGUCAGCCUACUUGGCCAAGAUUAAUCGACGACUCUAGACCAGACUAAAAAGGGGGAGACCCCAAGCUAAGACUAAAAUAGUGACCAAAAUAAAAUUUACCAGACCUAUCGAGGGUUGCCUAUGUAUCCCGCCUCGAAGGACGAGAAUCAGGUACGCGUAGUUCGUCCAGCUUGGAAAAUUAAGGAUUAAAUGACAAACUAAACCCUAAAUUGAGUGACACGACUAAAGACAGACGAAUAAAAUCUUUUUUUGAGUUUUAAUUAGAAACUAACACUAACAACUAUGAAAGAAAAAUCUUUUUGAUAAUGUCGUUAUAUAAAAAUGUACAAAGUUCCUAUAGAAAGGAAAAAAAAUAUUUUUGGAUUUUUCGAAUUGUGAAUACUUACUAAAGAAACAAAAGAAAAAUCUUUUUAACUUUUUUAUUUUUUGAAAAAUUAGUGCAAAAGUAAAAAAAACACACUUUUUUUUUUAAAUUGUGAAAAAGAAAAGCCAUAAAGAACACUAAAAACUAUCAAAAUUUCUUUUUUUCACUCUUUUUUUUUCUUCCUCUUUUUUUUUUCAACAAUUUCUUGCCUACACACUUUCUUUCUAACUCAUACUUUUGGCCAAAUCAGUCUGUCAAAUGACCUCGUUACCCUCAAAGAUGCAACAUUUAGCACGUAGGGAUGCUUCAGAGGUGAGUCUCCUACAAAGAUCCACGUGGAUCCCGCUAGAUCUCAAUAUGAUGCAAAUAAGCAUGACCUAAAGGCUGACCUACGCUGGGGUUUACUACUAAGGCUGUUCAGGGGAGCGUAUGGUUGAUAGUGGCUGCGGUAGCUUUCUACCCACCCCAUACCAGCCGACGACUCCCCCUCCUAAAAAUAAGGGUGACUCAACUAUAGGUCGUGUACACAACGUGUACUAUAGAACUUAUUACAGAAAGAAUUGACUCGGGUUAUACAAAUGAUGCCAGAUAUAAAGCGGUAACACAUAAGAGAAAAACUGUAAACACGUAGCACGCAAACACUCCACAAUGAUAAACAAAUACAAAAAAUAACACAAACAAUGUUUAUAUACUCAUAAUGUCAAAUCUAAGCCGAUAUAACUCCAAAAAUUAGCUCGAAUUCUGAAAAGAUUCUCCAGCAGAGUCUCCAGAGCUGUCACACCCCUCUUUUAACUUUCAAAAAGAUUAGAUUUUAUGGUUCGAAAGGGUUUUUAUUAUUAAAGUGACAAAAAUGAAGAUUUUGUUUCAAAAAGGAUUAUUUACAUUUAAACUCAGAGUCGCCACUUGGCAUAAUCCGGUGUGCCAAGUCACCGUUGGAAAUCCUUUUUCAAAAAUGAUUUCGACUCUUUUAAACUGAUCCACGAAUAGAGAUUCCGAUUAAGGAAUUCUAUUGACCGAAGGAAAGGUGUUAGACACCCCUCGAUCUCAUGGUUCGACCAUGGUCGCUUGGUGGAGCAUAUCGGUUAAUUUGGCACUAUGAAUGUAUAAACUACAUAAAACACAUAAAAACAAGCAACAAACAAAUCAAACAAAGUUAAAAAUCAAAAUAAUGUCCAGUCCUAGUCAUACAGUCUCAAAUAGAAAAAUUGCAAAAAAUAUAAAUCCUAUUCUAUACUACCCCUAGACUAAGCUCCAUCCGCCGCCUCGGGCCUUCGUCACGAACGUCCUCCGGGUACAAAAUACUUUGGGGCAUUUCCCGGCAAAUAAACACAAAUACCUCGGGGCAUUCCCUAACCGAAUGAAUACAUCUGAAUUAAAUAAGCUAACUAAAAAACGUUCAAAACACACAUUUAAACGUUCAAAGCAUUCAAUCAACACAUCACUCCUGAAUUUUUGCCUACCCGAACCUAUAUUGCCUAUCCAUUUCAAAAUAUCAUAAAUCUAUCCAUUCAUGCUUAUUUCGAAUUAAACAAAAAGAAAACAAAUGAAAAUUAACCUACAUUCAACUUCUAUCAAUUUCUCAAUUCCACCCCCUGCUAGCUUCGUUUUUAUCAAUUACACCAAAAUUACUCCAAUUCGUUUCACAUAUUGCCGAAAUCAUGUCGUCAAGCACAUAACCAUAUCAUCAUAAUAUCAACAAAAUCCAACAAUUAUGACCACACCACACAUAAUCACAACCAAUUCAACCAAUCAAGAUUAAAGAGAACGAGUUAAAGAGAUGGACCUCGAUAGAACUUAAUUUUCUUGAUAAUAAAAAAAAUUCGAGACCGAAAUUCUCGAAUAAGAACCCCAACGACGAAUGAACCAAAAUUAGUAUAGAGAAACAACCCAAACAGAUUAAGAACCAAUGGAAAAUCUCAAAAUAGACGAACCCAGCCCUGUAUCAAAAACCCUAAAGCACGAUAUCGAAAGAUAAAUCGCAAACAAACGAGAACAAAAGUCUCCAAAAUUCAAGCAAUAGCUGAAAACCAGUCCAAACUUUAGCUCCAGUGAGCUAUGGGGGGAGAAAGCUGAUGGAAAAGGUCAGAUUUCGGCGACACAGUAACUUGAAACCAAAUUUCAUUUCCCCUUUCGAUUCUCCCCUCUAUCUCUCACUCGAUUUCACCCUCUCUUCCCCUCCGAUUCUCAAAUCUUCCUCAGAUCUAUGUGUGUACUGAUAUGUCGAUGGGAGGUCCAAGAUGGUCGGAGAUAUGAUUGUGCGUGUGUAUGAGAUGAAGAUGAUGAUAAAACGCCCUUCAAUAUUGGUUCAUAUAUCUGUAUAUGUACUCAAUCAAGAAGAAAACCAAAAGGGGAAAGUCGGGUUCAUCCGUGAGGUCCCCCUAUAGAAAUUUCCUGGAACAUGUAUAUUGUUGAUGGAAUUUUUUCUCUCCCCCGUAGGACCCCUGAUUUGUGAGAAAGAAAAAUGGUCCCCCCUCCUGAUUAUUUUAUUUUUAUUUUCUGUAUAUAUAUGGAUAGAUAUAUCUUUAUGAAAUUGCGAAAAGAUAAAAGAAAGGGAAUCUUUUUGGUGGUCCCCCUAAAUGGAAAUUUUUUUGUGAUUUGGUUAAAAGAAAUGAAAAGGAACGUGAGGGGGUGGUGACGUGGGGUGUAGGGGUGAGGGGGUAUCUUGUUAGGAUAAGAUAAAAUUAGUUAGAGGUUGUUAUUUUUUGUUCUUUUACGAGGAAUAAUUACACAAUUGGUGGUACACGGUAGGAUAAGGUAAAAAUAAGAAAAUUAAUCUUUUGUAGGGACAAAAUUACGUGUCUACAGUUAAUACACGUUUAAUCAUUCUUAUACUUUUUUUACAUGAUAUUUAGAAAUUGCUGUGAAAAAUGAGUAUCCUAGUUAUCAUCGAGAUUCUUGAUGAAUGUUAUUCAUUAUUGGAUACAUAUAAUGUUAGACAAGAACAUUUGAUGGAACCUGAGGUGAGAUUUGAGAAAUUUAAAGUAGGGUCAAAAUUUUACGUUCUUACAUGAAAAGAUUCUUUAAUGGUGAUUACGGAUAGAAUGUUAUGGAAAAAAAUUUGUGAUUGUUGUUGAUUGGAAAAACAUGUUUACAAAUUACAAGGAAAUUUUCGUCAGAUUUCUUGAACCCUUUGAUGAAAAUGGCAUAUUUCGUUAAAGUAAAAAUAAGUUGAGAAAAUUAGUUUUGGAUUUAACUGGUAGUGGAUUAAGAUUGGUUUCAAAGAGAAAAUGGGUAAUUUAAAGUGGAAUUUGAGGAAUUCAAUCAAUUUGGAGAGAUUUGUUAAAUUAGAGGGCAUGCUUGUGAAGUUUGCUAACACCAGAGGUAUAUUUGACCCCAUAGUAUAACGGCAAGGGCAUAUUUAGCUCGAUAGACCAAUGGAGGGCAAAAUUAAUCAAUUAAUCAAAGUAGAGGGGGUAUAUUUAACCCUUUUCUCUUCUUUUAAUAAAUCUAAAAAAUUUCCUUUGAGAUACCAUAUUCAUUAUUAGUUUUCUAACACAAGUCACCUACAUAUUAGUCCUUUUUGGUAACAAAAUGGAACAAGUAAGUUAGGACUCGAGAAAGUAAAAUAUGGAUAGAUGAUAAUCAGAGGCGAACCCAAGAUUUGAAAAUAGGGGGUGCUCCAGUAUCUUUAGCAUAGUCAUGUCGAUUCUCAACUACAUAAUUUGACAUACAAGUCUUUUAAACUUAAAAAUUGUAAAAUAUUAUGAGCAAAGUAUAAACUUCAAAAUGAUCAAAUAAUAUUAAUUUAGUACUAAUAUACCAAAAAAAUAAAAUAUAAUAGAGGAAUCACACUCCUCACAAAAAAAUAAAAUAAACGCAAUAAUCUCAAUAGGGGAAUCACACCCUUCCUUUCGUAAAACAACAAAAACGAUAUGAUUUAUAAUGAAGAAAUCACACCCUUAAAAAGAAAUAAGUAAACACAAACAAUGAGAAUAUCUAUUAAAAUUUAUUUUAAAUUAAGGAACAAGUGUGCGGCCAAUCCAAAAAAUACAACAACAAAAAUGGCCCAAAUGAAGAGGACAUUCUGCUUUUUUAAAAUGAUGUUGUUGGCCAAAAUAUGUAAAAAAUAAUUCAUCACAGUUGCAACUGCAAGUCACCUUCAAAAUAUAACCACAAUUAUUUGCCAAGUAUUGUGGUCAUUUAUCAUUAUUUUUAUCAAGAAUGCAGCAAGUAACAUAUCGCGGCAUAGGAUAUAGCAUUUUGAGCAUAACAAUAGCUCAAUCAAAAUAUUUCGAGAGCUGGUAAAAUAGUUACUCCCAUUUUAGAUCAAAGCAACACGAUGUUCAACUAUUUGUUUCAACAAAUAUGGGUGCAGGAAACAAAAGUAAAGGAAUAUUUCGAUUUCUUUUUUCUAAUCUAACAUGAAGAAACAAAAUUUCCAAAACAAUAAUUAUUCAUUUAUUUUUAAUCAAAGAUCAUAGAUUUAAAUAAAAGCAAGAAAAAAAAUUAGACAUUAACUUUCGAGCAAUAAACAGACAUUAAAAGCAUGUAAUUUUACAAAAACUUGAACUAAAAAAAAAAAUUAAAAAAACGAAAGAAGAAAAUAGUAGAGAGAAAUGUGUACCAGCUACUGUAGAACUUGAAACCAAAAUGAGCUACAGAAGUAAAAAAGUGACCAAAAUAGGUCAUCUAUUUAAAAAGUUACCAAAAUAGGCUAAACGUAAUAAUUUAUUACUUUUUUCACUUUUUGAUUAACCGUCAAAUAAUAGAGUUGACUUUUAUAAAAAUGUAAGAAUUUGUUAAGUUUUACACGAUGAUCGAGGAAAAAACGUGCAGCGAAUUGUCGAAUCUAUUAAAUCGCUUUUCAGAAAAAAAUUUCUUCAACGUAAUAAAAUCUUACGUGCUUCACUUUGUUAUGGUCCCACAAUUCCAUUUUGUCCACUUUUUCCACUAUGUCAGCACCGUCCCUUUCCACUUUUUCCACAAUUUCACUUUGUCUACUUCUUGAAAAACUACUUUUUCAACCUUUAUUUUAAAAUAAUUAUAAAUUUUUUAAUUUUAUUCAGUUAAAUUUAUUUAUAUUUUAUAUCUAAUUAAAAUAAUUUAUUUUUGCUUUAUGUAAUAAAUUUUUACAUUUUACAAAAAAAAAAUUUAAAAAAAAAUUAUCAAUUAGAUCAUUAACUUAACAAUUUUCUUAUAUUUAUUCUAUAUCAAAAAAUAAUCAGUUCUAUCCUUAAUUAACCGAUUUCACUGUAAAAAAAAAAAAUUAUAUUUUUGAGUUUUUCUCUACUAAAAAAUAGUGAAAUGUUAAAUUUUCGUCGAUCAAAUAUGCUACUAUAUACAAGAAUUAUAUUUUCUUGGUGUAUUACAAAUAUGAAAUUAAUUUUUUCGGUUAGUGAUUCAUCGUAGUUUUCGAUUAGGAUAUUGAGGAGACUCACAUGCACAAAUUCGUUUCAUAUUACAAUUAAUAGAGUAAAAAAUCACAAUUUAAUUUAGGAGUGUACAAAAUCGUACCGAUAAAUAUAUAUGAUAAUGUAUAAAUCAAUAAUAUUUUUAUCGGUGCGAUUUUAUUACAAAAAUUAUUGCAUUAUUUGUUCGAUUUUUAUUUUGUAUUGAUAAACCGAUACCCCACUAAGAUUAUACUACAUAAUUAUUUUACACCCUAUAUAUAUUAUAUUAUUAUAUCUAAUUAUUAAAAUAAAUAAGCGAAAAUAUAUACAUAAUAUAUUAUUAUAAGCGAUAGUAUAGUAAUAAGCGAACAUAUAUAGUAGUUAUAUAUUACAAUAAUAUUAUAUAUAUUAUAAGAAGAAGAAAGUGAAGCACGUAAGAUUUUAUUACGUGGAAGAAAACUUUUUCUGAAAAGUGAUUUAAUAUUUGACAAUUCACUGCACGUUUUUCUCUCGAUCAUCGUGUAAAACGUAAGAAAUUUUUACGUUUUACAUUUUUUUUUAAUGAAACGUAAGAAUUUUUUACGUUUUACCAAAAAAGUGUAAAAUGUAAGAAAUUUUUACGUUUUUAUAAAAGUCAACUUCAUUAUUUGAUCGUUAACAAAAAAGUAAAAAACUAAAUAUAUUAUUACAUUUAGCCUAUUUUGGUAACUUUUUAACUAGAUGGCCUAUUUUGAUCACUUUUUUACUUUCGUGGCUCAUUUUGGUUCCGAGUUCGCUAUUGUACAUCAAAUGGAGAAUUGUCUCCUUUCUCUUUGUUUUGUUGUGUACUGGCUUUCUAGGGUUCAAUAAUCAGUGAGAAAUAUUUAGGAAUUUGUGGGGAAAUACGAUUUGGGCUUGGGAUUAGGGAAAUUGAAAUGUCCAAUGAAUUUGACCAAAAAAAGAAAGAUGUCCAAUGAAUAUUUAUACUUUAUUAAUUAAGGGUGGGCCAGAUGAGAUCGUUGGUGGCUUCCAAUUAAAUGUAAUAGAGAGUUUGUAAAAUGAAAUAAAAGUACACCAAAUCCGGGAAUCGAACCCGCAGUGUCGACUGUCGCAUGAUGUCUUGUGCGAGUUUCAAACUAGUGCACCCAAGUAAGUUUUGUAAUAAUGGAUGCACACAUUAAUAUAUUAACACUUUUUAGGGAAUAUAUAUAUAUAUAUAUAUAUAAUUUUUUAAAAAAAUUACCGGGUACACGUGCACCCUCACAGAACCACGUGGGUUCGCCUCUGGUGAUAAUAUGUAGAAGCCGCAACAAAUGAGUGAGAGCGUGUCUCCAUCCACAGUAACUGAAGCAUACCCUGUUUCGAUACAGAUAUUUUUGCUAAUGGAUUUAUCACGUUUAAUGUCUUAUUUAGGACUCUGAGAAGACUAGCUCUGUUUGCACUUGUACAAAACUAUUAAUCCUCACGCUUUGCCAAUAAUUAUAGCCUUUGCACUACUAUUUAUGGGUCUUGGGCGUCAUUCAAUCUCAAAAGCUAACUAAUAGAAUGAGAUUUUCAAAUCGAUAUAAGGCGAUCGAUAAAAGCUACCUUGCACGCCUACACCUUGUUAACUGAAGCACAAACAAUAUAACAUAAGGGUCCAAUAUCAAUAAAAAAGAAUUGAAAUGAAUCUAGCUCCUGUGUGGCUAAAAUGUCGUUUUUUGCUGGACCAUUUGCCUUUCUUUAAGCACUAACAAUUGACAGCAAACUUGGAAAAGUGUGUUAGAAAGUAGCACCCCAACUUUCCCUGUGACUGAUUUGGUGUGAGGUAGAGAGUAUUCAGUCACUCCCCAGUCCCCCCCUACUGCUGAUUGCACUCUUUUCCCCCACAAGAAAUUCACAUCACUUGGUUCCACUUUGCUUCUUUUCCCCUAUCCUAGUACAGGUACAGCUAUUGUUUCCUCAUUUUACUCAACUCUGAGAAUCUGCAACUAUAGUUACUUUUUCAAAAUAUAAAAAAUGAAAAAGGCUGUCCAAUUUAAUUUAAAAUAGAUCUGGUUAUUAUGUAAAAUAUUUUUGAAUAAUAAAAGUGUGUUCUUUUAAGCAACUUAAGCUUUAGAUGAGAUGGUUAAACACGAUAUGACAAUAGGCAGAGGCAGGUACGGAACUCCCUUUAGCAGAAAAUUACACUGUAUUCUGUCUUCGUCAUUGAGCGGACGAUCGAAUCUGAAUGUCAUCCAUUAUUAAAAAGAAUUUCCACAUGUUUGUCCCAUGAAAAAAAAACAGGUUUGCAUGUGAGGGGCGUGGUGUGACUUUGGCAUUUUUACUUUAUAGGUAAUUGAUGAAAAGUGUACAAAUAGUGGAAUUGGUAAGGUUUCGAAAUAAGUUAUGGACAUCGAAUGAGAAGCAAAAAAAAAAAAGAGAUUGGAGAUCAUAGUUGGUGCAAUGGUACUCCAUCCAUGUUACUUAAAAUACCCAGUCCAAAUAAGUCGAUCCAAAUGUCGAUAAUUUGAUUCAAAAAUACUACUACUUCGAUUUUUUAAUUUUUAGCUAUGCAUAUAUAGUUCUAGCCGAAAAUAAUAGGUCAAAUUCAAAUAAGUCGCUCCAGAUAAAGAUGGAUCUGUAUUUCUUGUUAUGUAAUGAUGCAAGAAAUUGCAUCAGCAGCAAGAGUUGUUUAAACAUAUAUUCCCAACAGUCACAUGCGCCUUUCAGAUUUUGCGGCCGCCUAUGAUCUUAUUGUUAGAUUUAAAUAAAUGCACCCCAAAAUGCAACGGGAAAAUAAUUAUUUAUCACUCCUGUUCUUCCUUAGAGUAACAAUUAAAGUUGUUGUUAUGUGAUCAAGAGGUUACGGGUUCAAGCCAUGAAAAUAACCUUUUGCAGAAAUGUAAAGUGAGGGUGAAACUGAAGCUGCGUAUCCAUCCGAUCCUUCCCUGAACGUCGCACAUAGCGGAAUUUUUACUGCACUGAGUUGCCUUUUUCUUUUUCAUUUCUGUUCUUCCUUAAAAUUGUUUGUUAUCUAGUUUAUAUAGAUGCUAAGCUAGUCGCUUUUCUUAAAUAGAUAAAAUGUUAAUCUAUCACCAACACAGACAACAUACCAGAAUAAUUGAAUGCACAAUGAUUCCUACAAGUUAAAAUAGGUGUGUCCCAAGGUUGAUGCUUGCUUGAUUUUGACUCUACCAUGUCAUUUUAGAACUAUAUGUGUUUCUACAUCUUCUGAGUUUAUAAACUAUACAUUAGCCCUACAAUGCAGAGUCCUCGUGUUUUUUGAAUCGUUUAUGUAACAAUGUGCUUCUUAUCAUAUGUGAAUUUAAUAGUUCUAUUUUUCUUUUUAAAAGAUCGAUCAUCAAGAUUUUGUUUCCAAAUAAUUAAGGAUUUACAAUACUAUGUAAUUAACUGAUUAUAAUAAGCCUAAUUUGAUAACCUUUUAUAACCGGUUAAUUAAAUGAAUUUAUAAUCUGAAACAAGUUUUACGUUGAAACAUAUUCCCUUGAAAACUUCAUAUUAAAUGGAUUAUGGAGGAGCUCCAUAGCAAUAUAUCCACAAUAGCAAAAUAUUCCCUUCUAUAUCCACAAUAGCAAAAUAUUCCCUUCUCUUUUGAGAUAUAGUAAAAAAAAGGAAAAGAAGAAGUAGUGUAUUCCAAAUAUUAUGUUUAUCCGGUUAAAAGAUUAAUUAGCAGGCAUAGAAGAUCUGAUCUAUGAUCUAUCCAGUUAAUGAUAUAAUAGUAUAGUAUAAGGAAAAUUAAUGGAUUUCAUGUGAUGUAAAAUACUACUCCUAUGUGAAUAUUAAUUAGCAAAAGUUUAAGAGCAUUAAUACAAGAGCACAUCACAUUGCAGGUAAGAAGAAUAUUUGGAAGACUCUAAAUAAAAUAAAUAACACGUCACGUUAUAUGCUCUAUUUUGUUAAAGUAUAAACUUCGCUGGCUUCCAGUCUUGCCAUCUUCCCACCCCAUGUUAAUGUCCCCCUCCCUCUCCCCAAUUCCAUGUUCCCACUUCCCUCACUUAACACCCUCACUCCCAACUAAAAAAUCACUAUUUUUUCAUCUCGUUAAAAAAUGUUGGAUGGCUAAUUUCACAGAUAUUUUAAUUGAAUCAGUAAGAUAAAAAAAAUAAUAUACAUAUAAUUUUCAUACAAAAAAAAAGUAAGAAGCUUUUCAAUAUUUCAAUAAGAUCUUUUUUCAUUGAUUUAACACGCAUUACAUAUAUACAGUAGGUUACUAUAGAUAUUUUUAGCUAAUUAACAUGAUUUCUGAUACUACAGGGAUCAUGGCCUUUGUUCCUUCUACACCUGAUAUUUCCCUCAAUUUUCAACCUCUUCAUCAAGAUUAUAAUAAUAAUCAUCAUCUUCCUUCCACCUCCCCAAAAACUUUCCCUCUCCUUGCCUUCCUCAUCAAGACUUCAAUCAUGGUAAGUUUAAUUUCUCUAGUAGACGUGAAUUCAGGUUUUAAAUUGAGAUCAUCGUACGUUUGAAUUAUGAUUAAUUCUCCAAGUUUCGAUCAUACAUAUAUAGCUCGAUCCCUUCUUUUAUGAUCACAACUUUAUCGUCUAUCUAUUUUUUUUCUCACUUAAUCCAUCUUUCCUGGUCACAUAUCUUUCAAGUUGAGGAUUUAAUGAUUUUUUGUUUUCUCUUCCCACAUGAAUUUAAUCUUUAUCUCAUAGGAAAAUUGAAUAUUUAUUAAAUUUUGCGAUGUUUCACAUAUAAAUAUCUUAGUCUAUGUUUUACUUAAUUCAGUUGAACCCAUAGCACAUAGGAUCCAUGAUUAUAUCGCGACUUUUGACACUCACAUAUAUUUCGCUAGCAAAUUUGUUGUCAUGAUGAAUAUAUAUGCAGGCUUACCAUCAAUGUUAAUGAGGAGAUCCAUGUCAUUUUCGGGCGCGGAGAGGUGCGAUAAUCAUCAGGAUUUGAGGGUGGACGAUAAUGAAAUGUCUGAUGACGAUGGUUCUUCGCAAUUGCUAGGGGAGAAAAAGAGGAGGCUUAAUAUGGAGCAAGUGAAGGCAUUGGAAAGAAGCUUUGAAAUGGCUAACAAACUUGAGCCUGAGAGGAAAAUUCAGUUGGCUAGAGCUUUAGGUUUGCAGCCAAGGCAGAUAGCUAUAUGGUUCCAGAAUAGAAGAGCAAGGUGGAAGACUAAGCAGUUGGAGAAAGAUUAUGAGAUCUUGAAGAGACAUUAUGAUUCACUUAAGGCUGAUAAUGAUGCACUCAAGGCUCAAAAUAAGGAACUUCAUUCCGAGGUAAUUAAUUAAUUUCCAAUUAUAUAUAUAUCGUCAAGUAAAUAAUCGAUAGAUCAUAUAGCACGACUAGAGGUGGCAAAUAGUUUCAGCAGGUCAAAACGUAUCGAAUCGAAUCUGUCAUAGAUCUUACUUGGAUCAAGAUGGUUCGAGUAACGUUUCAUAAUUCAACCAUCCCUUUUCCAAUUCUAUUGUCCGAAGAAAAACACAUGAAAAACAAUGUAUUCUUCUUAAUUAUUAUAGGCUAACUUCAUCUAAAUUUACAUAAUUCUCAAACUCCAAGUUUGAUUAUGUAUGUUUGAGUUGAGUAGCCUUUUGACUUUGCCGGGUUACAUUAUUUUGAUGACCUAAUUAUAGUUUGAUAGGUCAUUUUGAGUUCAUCCCAUAGAAUUAAGUAGUAUAACAAACAAGUCAUAAUUCAACUUGUUUAACCUUGUAAUAUACAUAGAACGAUAGAAACAUAUACUUGUAUUAUGUAUGCACCAUAAAGUUUGUUUGUUCAUUUAUUGCCAUUAAUUAUACAUUGAAGAAUUAACUUAAAUAGUAGUUCAUUCAAUCGCUUAAACUAAAGAUAGUCAUAGGGUGUAUAAUAUAUGUAUAUCGGCUGCACUAAACAGAUUAUUUGUGUAAGGAUUCUUUAUAUAUAUUUUGGCGUGGCAGCUACAGUUAUUAAAUGUGAAGAACAGAGAAUCAUCAGGGGGAGGUGGUACACCAAUAAUGAUAAAUCUGAACAAAGAAAAUGAAGGAUCAUGGAGUAAUAAUGGAAGUGAUGACAACAACAGCAUUGACGUUAAUCUUGGAACUGCCACUACAUCAGGUGACAGCCCAUUUUACUCCAAGAAUGUUUUCCCAGAAACCGGCCCAACUACUCUGGCCCAUUUUCUUCAAAGUUCAUCAAGACCAGAUCUCAGCCAUUGCCACAAAAUUGAUCCAACGGUCCAAGAUGAUCAAGGAUUCUGCAACAUGUUUACUCCUGUGGAUGAUCAGACAAAUUUUUGGCCAUGGCCAGAACAGCAGCACUUUAAUUAAUUAAUUAAUUUUAUUUAAUAUUAUUAUUCAAAAUUAUAUCCUUCUUCCCAACUCUUUUUGUUCUUAUUCCUUAUAGUUUAAUUCUUUUGCGUGUAUAGUAAAUCAUGUAAGAAUUAUUAUGAUCCACUUGAUAGUUACGACGUGUGAGUUAAUUAAAUCAGAAAUGGAUUUUCUUCUUCUUCUUCUUUUUUUUUUUUUUUUUUUUUUACAAGUGUUUAUAGUCAUUUAUAUUUCCCAGAAUUCAUUAUAGUUUUGAAACGGUUUUAAAAUUUGAUAAAUGUCAAAAUUUUAAUAAUUGUAUUUAUAUUUCGUGCAAAAUACUAUAGUAAAUUUUUCCUACUUUGAAUACUUUCACUAUAUUCUUAAUUACGUUCUUUCUACAAAGAUAAUGAUUACACGAUUCAAAUAAUAUUUGUAGUAUAUUAUACAGAUUUUUCUCUUUACAUCACAUACACAAAAGGCAAGGUCAGGUAGUUCUAGCUCUUUCUUUGAAAAGAAAAGAUGGUUCCAUGGAUCGGGUUUCUUUCAGGUAGUGAAGCACUAAGAAACUCUUUUAGCAUGCCUUUUUGAAUCAGUUUAGGUAAAGCAUGCCCGAAGUUCAGAGAUAGGAAAAAAGCCGUAGGCAGGAAUAGAACUUUUAUAUGAUAAUCCCAAGGGCCGGUUGAAAGCAAAAACACUCCCGGAAGAGGAAAAGAACCACUCUAUCAAGUUCUCAGUCAAGUACGGUAGCAACUGAAGUCUCUGCCUUUCACUCUGACUUGCCAUUCAUCGUUUACUCUUCCUUGCGCUGCGGCGGGAGAGGUAAUUGAUAAGGAGUUCCAACCAUUAUUUCGGAUGAAUAGGCGUGUGCUGGUUCUUUGCCUAAUUAAACUUUCACCUGGGCUAAAGGACUAAACCCCACAUCGUCUUCCUACUGCCAAGUCAAAGCUAAGACCGCUUAUGCGAAGCUGGAAUCUAGUUCCAGCGGAAGACUCCACUGGGCGGGGACUUUUCUCGGGGAUACACAAAAGGCAAGGAUGACUCAAAGGUAAGGCUAGUAAAGUCUUCGGUUUAAGCCCCCAAAAUUUUAAUAAUAAACUCUGUGAUUUCAAUUUCUUUUGAAAUAAUAAUGAAGAUUGUGAAAUACAUUUUAGUGAAAUACAUUUUAAAAAAUUAUCUAAAAAAUAAUUUUUUUUAAAAAAAGAAAAAAGUUCUCAUUUUUAGAAGAAAUAUU
rnacentral:lncRNA from 1 species